UAAGUUAAAAGGAAUAAAAUGACAAAUUUAACCUCAUAUGUGAGGCUCACGUACUAACAAUUAAUAAAGAGUUGACAGAAUCCUCAAUUUUGGGCCUAAUUCCUAAGGGACUUCAUCACAGGAGUUUAAAUCCUAAUAUUUUUUUUUUUUACUAUGAAGUCCAUCUUCCAACUACCUUGUUGAAAUUGAUACCAAGCGGAAUAUCUUGUGUUUAAAAUUCAAUAUAUUCUUGGCUAACUAGUCAGCGUCACCAACCAACUAAGAUCAGAUUUGUUAAUUUACCAAAAGCAAGAAUAAACAAUUAUACUUGGUUUACUAACGAGGUCCUAGUUAACUAAGGUUCAGUUCAACACAUAUUUAACUUUGAUAAGCUUAGUUGUAGGCACAUAUCUAUUUGCAUACCCUAGAGACUAUAUAUCACAAGCAAAUGAACAUACGUAAAUUAACAAGAGAAAAACAUAAGCAACACAAGGAGUUUUGACCGGGAAAACCCACAUAUAGGUUAAAAAAAUUCGAGGACUCUCCAUUGAGUCCAAUCCACUAGUGCAAAUACAUUGAAUCAUGUGAAUUGGAUGAACUAGAGAUUUGAUGUGGUGGAUAGCCAUGAUUGAAUAAACCAUGAAACCAACUAUUAUAAAUGAAUAAGAAAAACCAAAUGAAUGAGUCAUCUGUGUUUACCUUAAAUUUGAGAUAUUCGAUAAAUUGACCGUGAGUAAGAAUUUUAUGCCACUCAAAAUCAAUUGUUAUGAAAAUAAUGAUUUCAAAAUAAUGAUGCAGAUAUAAUUUUGAAAAUAAGUUUUAUUGCGAAACUUACAUUGGGACUUACAAUUAAUUUACUGACGAUAAAUUCAACCAUCAGAGGGUCAUCAGUCUGGUUCUCUAUGAAUUUCCCAUUACUCUUCAUUCAGUCACCCCAGCGCAGCCAGUAAUCUCAGUUCUUCCAGCUUAAUCAUUAUUGGACUUUAGUCCAUCCUCAUCCCUUAAAGGAACAUUCAAGUUGCCCAAAUCAUCAAGCUCAAAGAAAAAUAAAGCCACUUAGCUUCAAGAUUUAGCACAAUAAUUACUUGUAGAAGCAGCAAUGCUCCACACUGAAGAAGAAGAAGGUUCAGACUCCAAAUCUUCAGAUGUGUCCUCACAACAACUAGCCAAUCCGACAAGUCAAAAAACAUAGUCAGCCAAGUGGGUCGACUACCAGGAUUCGCAAGACCCUUUUGCAUAAGGCCAUGUGAACACAGUUAAUUACCAUGUGAAAAUUCAGUCAUCAUAUUAAGUCAUCAUGUGAAUACUAUGACAAUUGCCAUGUGAAAAUUUAGCCUUAUUUCCAAGUCACCAUGUGAAGCGUUUAGACAAUGUUUGCAUUAAUAAUUCCGACAAAGCAUAGAAUCAUUAAGUCAUCUGCACAUUCGAAGUCAUCUGCACAUUCCACAGUAAAAGAAGCAAUUAUUCCAACAAGUUCACUAUUCAUCAACAGUAAAAACAAGUCAUCAUUCAUCCCAUACUUCAACAGUAAAGCAAUCAAUCAUUCAAAUCUCUUUUCCAAGUCUAUAUGAAGAGGACUCAGAUGAAGGAGACAUCAAGUUAAUUUCUACAUCUUUUCUCAAUCAAAAUUUCUUUGGGUUCACACUGUAUUCAAAGAAAACCAAAUUGUAAACAAUUUAAAUUCUCAAAUGUCAAGGAUGCCUGCGUGCACCAAUAUCCUUUUUAUCAGUAAAUUUCUUAUUUGUUGGAAAUUAGGUGGAAAGAUGGCUUUGUCUAAUUUUUCUUGUGCUUGUUCCCGAUUGAGAUUGAAAGGGAUGCUAAAAAGAUAUUCAUUGGGAUUGAGAUGAUGACGAUUGGUAUGUAGGGGUUGAAUAAGGAUCAUAUUGACUGACUAAUGCCGUUUGGUAAUUGGGAUGUUGGUAACUGGUAAUUUGGCCUAAGGUUUCCUAUUGUGGAACCUAAAGGAGUGAAACUGUUGGUAAGGGCUAAGGCCGAUGAAGAAUCUGGGCUUAAUUCUUGUGUUUAUUGGUGGUGGUGGUAAAGUGGUUGGAAGCCUCAUCUGAUUAGGUCUUCUUGCUGUCAUUCUUUUCCUGCAAAAAUUCUCAGGUUAGGAAAUCAAGGAUGCAAUUUUGACUACCUUUAAUAUAUUCGAUUUCAAAAUAAAAAAUACUUAAUAUAACUUGCCAUUGUGCAAAAAUCUGUUUUGAUGCAAUGCUUUGAACAUCUUUUUGUAAAACAUGUUUUGCAGAUUUGCAAUCGACUCUGAUGAUUUAAUAAAUCAUCUUGAAAUUUCUAAUUGAUGCGAAAAUUAUCUUAGCACACAAAUUUAUCCCUCUUUUGACAAUUGUAGUACAAGUAUAAGUAGGGAUCGUUUUGGACCGGGGAUUAGGAGGGCUUGCUAAUAAGCUCUAAAUUGACUCAAAAACAUAAAACAAAACUUAAAAACACUUAACAAGGCUCACAAGACUCAAAGCAAACUUAAAUUACUCAAAACAGCUUAAAACAACCAAAUAAACUUAAACUAGACACUAUAAAUGACUUUGGACGAAAAUUGACUUUUACUUGAAUCAAAACACUUAAAAACACAAACUAAAACAUAUUUGAAACACUUUGAAACAAGAAACUAAAAGGGGGGUUUUGAUGUGGAUGAAGUUGAAACAAGCAAACAAGUAUGAAAAACUAGACAGAUUGUAAAAUGAAUGUGAGAAAUAAGAUGAUGGAUGGGAUAGCUAGAGGCUUUUUCUCCACACAUGACAUGUAUGCAAAUAACUCGAUUUCCAGUUACUACUUCGUUGAAUUAUGAACGACAAUGCUCCAAAUUAACCGUGACAUCACUAGUUAACUCUCAGAUUUUCCUUGUUUUAUUGGAUUGGAUGACAUCAUUCGACAACCCAAAACAUUCUUCUAAAGUUCCCUACAUGACAUCAUAAUUGAGAUACAAUCAAAGAUCAUUACGUUUAAUGAAAAUCAUAAGCAUUGACAAAGCACUUGCAACUAUGACAUCAUGUCACUCAUGCUAGGAAUUGAACUUAACGCGAUCGUUUAUAAGCGACCUUCACUAUAUGUGAAUAUAAGUUUGUAACGAUUAUGUGAAACUUCCUUAUAUUCUAGCAACGGAUUUAUGCAUGCCAAUUAAGUGUCGACCCUUAAUUAACAAAUACAAAUAAAUUAUCAAUCAAAUAGUUAAGCCAAUUGCAUUCAUGAUUCAAGAGUUCAUAACUGGAAUUUAUCAAAUUAUAUUGCACACAUAAUCAUGGCUUUGAAAUCACCCCUAGCCAAGAGGGUUUUAGCCACUCAUAUUUACAACAAAACCAAAGGAAAUGAAUUUAAACAUUAGAAAUAAAAGAAAGAAAACACCUAAACGCUCCAACGAUCCAAGUUGGACAGCAAGCACGUCCAAGCACUUCUUCCCUUCCUUUGCUACGGCACAAGGUGUUGGUGAGUGUUUGAAGGUUUGUUUGUAUGGAGGAAUGGAUGUGAAGAUGAAUGGAUGUGUUUGGAUGAAGAUUGUGUUGAAAUGGGAGUGAAUGAUCUAACCAAGUAUGAACUCAAUUUAUGUUACACACACUUCCUUUUAUAGAGGAAGUGCAAGGCAAAGCAUGGGUAAAAUGGAGUGGGUUGAAAUGAUUCAAAGGUGAAAGUGAAGUAAUGAUGCAAAGCAUGGGUAAAAUGGAGUGGUGUUGAAAUGAUUCAAAGGUGAAAGUGAAUUGAUGAUUGAUGCAAGAAUUAAACAUGGAUGGAGUGCACGGCAAAGGUUUGUUAUGGUAUAAGGAACCCUAAGGAACCCUUAAAUUUGUGUCCUAAAAUGCAUGUGAAACCUUCAAUGUUGCUGGAACUUAGGGACAUUUAUUUAGGAAAGAUCAAACCAAAAUAGGAAACCUUGGCUUAACUUUCCUACUUCAAGUAGGAAUCCUCAUCUUUAGGUGUUCAAUUUCGUCCAUUCCUUUAGUUCCAAGCAUGUGAUAUUUAUUCCAAGCCCAAAAUUGCUCCAAAAGGCUCCAAAAAUGCACAUUUUUGCAUACUUUGUCCUUAGAACCUGAAAUUGCACAAAAAUGACUUUAAAACACUAAAACAACUAAGGAACUAAUAUAAAAAUAAAGAAUGAGAACAAGCUAACUCAGUCGCAUAAAACAACUAAGGAAUAACAACAUAAUGACUAGCACUGGCUUCUUCAGGAGAGACUAACUUCAAUUUUAAGUUAAAACUUGACUUCAAAUAAACUUGAAAAGCUUUUUCUUUAGGAUUUAAUGCUUUUAAUCUUUUUACAUAAAAGACUUUAUUUGGGUCAAAAUUCUUUGCUUUCUUGUUAAUUGAUCUUUUGUUCUUCUUGUUUGAUUUCGGAUUGAAAUUUACUUACAAGGCAUUUGUGCAUCCUAUCUUAAUGAAAGACUUUGAGGUAUGAAUAGAUGAUGAAUUAAAAUCUAAAUUGUCUUCAAAUUGACUAUGGUCUGUUUCUCUUAAUUCUAAGACUUGGAUUAGCUGGGUCUUCUCCUUCUCAGAGAUUUUCAAAGGAUAUUUAUUUGUUCUUGACUUGACUUUUGUUUGCAUUUGUAAUGACAUUUUCUAAAUGCCUAAAUUUGCAUUAAUUUUGUUUGUUCUUGAUUUUUGGAGUUUUCAAAAAGUUUUCCUGAGGGUUUCCUCUUCCACUUGUUGAACUUGGGUUUCUCGUGUAAAAUUUAUUUGUUUCACUAAAAAUUCUUAUUUUUGAAAUUUGUUAUGUUUAGGGUUCUUAUUUAUAUUGGGCUCUUGAUUUAAUUUUUUUUUGAAGUAAAAGGAUUUACAUUUCUAGGUUUUCAAUCGAUUUUGUUUGAUGGUUUUCUGAAUUAAUAAUUUAUUUCUAAACUUUUUAAUUUGGUCUUUUUUGAACUUUCUAUAAUGCUAAUAUUGUCAGCUAUUUUUUGACUUUUGUUUUAUCUUAUUUUAAUAAAGUACAUUCUGAAUUUUUGUAAAAAUUAUUUUUAAUAAAAAUUGCCAAUCCAUUUUUAUUUUUUCCAAAAUUGAUUAAUUAAUGUUUGUAUUUAAACAUGGCUAUUUGACUUGCACUUUUUUACUUUUUUUUGAUAAAAUCAUCUAUAUGACAUUUCUAUCCUUUUCUAAAUAAUAUUAAUAUUUCCAUAACUAAGGGUAUAUAUGGUAUGACACCUUCUUCAAACUAAAACAUUUUAUGAUUUUGAAUAUAUUCCAUUAAUGAAUUUUUCUUUCCAAAAUGGUUGAUUACUAUCUUCUUUAAGCAUGACUCUAGACAUGAAAACAUCUUUGUACCACCUAAAAUCGCUUAGGGUUAUACAUCUUAAGUUACUGAGUUGGUCAUGAAUCCUAGAUGUGACAUUACUAGGUGUCCCUAUGAAAUGUUCUAUGAUAGUGAAAAGUAAUGUGUUGACCACAUCUGGGACUCCUCUUCUGAUACAUUCAUCGAAAAUAGGUGUUCCGUCUUCAUCUCUUUUGACUGUAUUUUUUAUUGCAUUUCUGAAUUGUUCAGUAAGAUAUUUUUCCCACCAGGAAUGGAGGUUCCUGUAAAUCCAGUGACCAAAAUGUCGACAACUUGGGUUGGACUAAGGUUAUGAUUGGUAAUAUAACUAUUAGCAACUAUGAAGAUGGGUUGUAAUUUGUUCAAAAGUUCUUGUUCUGAUAAUCUAUCUAUGUUCCAUUCAUAGAGUUUAUCAGCCGAGACCGAGAAUUGGUUUUGGAUGUUUCUUUCCUCAAAUUGAAUAUCCGGAGAUGUUGGCCUUGGAUACCAAUUUUUUGUAAGAGUUGUCAGAUUGACUCUUUUGUUUGUGAUUCAUUUUAGUUCAAGAUUUUGAAAAGCUUCUUCUACUUUUCUGAGGGAAUUUGUUUCACUCUCGCCUUCUAAAUUCCAUAUUGCAAAAGUUAAGUUUGGUUGAGAUUCAUCUGGGUGUUGUAAAACAUUGACAGUUUUUUCUUGUUUUAACUCUUGUAACAUUUGAUCUAUUUUUUGACUUGUGGAGAUUGUUUUCAAAGCUGUUUUGCUAGAUGCGGCUUCUGGGAAGUUGACUAAGGGUUUUUCCUUAAUUGUUGGUUUGGAAUGUGAAAGUCUAUCUAUUUUGGUUUCUAUUUUAUCUAGCUGUUUUCCUAUGGUGUGUAGACUCUGGUUUGUGAAAUUAUUUUGUUCAAUGACUGGCUUGACUCCUGUCUUCUUUGGGAAGUUUGAAAAGGGUGGUUGGUAUCUGUGUGUUUGCAAUUGUAAUUAAAAUUGUUUCUUGUGGAGGGUGACUACUUUAACCCAAUUUUCUUUGGUGAUAACUUCUAAUUUCUUUUCAGACAAGUAAUAUUUUUUAACGAAAUCGAAGAAAAAUACUUCAAAUCUGUGUUUUUUUUCAUGAAAUUGGUCCAUUUAUUGUAAAUGUCCAAUUUUUGUUCUUUUGUAUAUUUUUCCUUAAAGGUGUUUCUUCUAGGAAUGUUUUCCAUUGCUUUGAUGUCAGCGUUGAGUUUUUUCCAUCGAAUUUUGAAUGGUUUGUUUAUGACUAGCAGUUGGUGGUUAACUUGAUUUGCUUUGAAAUCAGAUUCUGUUAGAGAGGUUUGUUCUCCUUGAUUUUGGGUGUUAGGUUGGUAUCUUGGAUGAGUAACCUGAGAGGUUUCUAUUGAUUUUAACUUUAUGUUGAUCAAGUCAUUAAUUAAUUCUUGUUGAGUAGCUACUGAGCUAGUUUCUACUGAUUUUAAUUUCUUAUUGACCAAAGAAUUGAUUAGAUCUUGAUCUUGACCCACCAUAUCGGCUGAUGUAGAUCCAGAAAAAGAGUUUCUAUCUGGCUCUAAAGAUUUGUGUGACUGGGCUAACUCAGGUAAGUGAACACUAGAUUUUCUGGCUGGAGGGUUGAAGUUGAUUUUAACUAUUCCAUCAAAAUAUUGUUCUAUGUUGUCUAGGUUGACUAAGCUAUUUUGUAUGCUUACUGAUUUGCUUUCAUUGAUCAAGCAGCAAUCUGAAGGUAGAUUGAUAUCUGACCAUUUGAUAGUUCUGGGUAUUUUGAUGUUGUCAUUUUCUUGAUUGAUUUGUAUCAAGAAUGUGUGGUCUCUAGGACUUUUAACUAAGGCUUGGAAAUUCAUGGUUGUUAUGUAACUUUGUAGUAAACUCUAAAGAUAAGGCUAAUGGUUGGACUCCUUCAAGAAUUUGGUACCUUGAAGUGUUGUUAUUUAAUGUGAGUGCUUUUAGCAUGUGGGGAUCUAAAAGACUUAUCGUGAGAUCUAGGAAACAAUCAAAAUGAAUUGGUCUGUUGUAAAGACUUCACUCAAUCAUCCCAAGAAUGCUAUCACAGAAGUUAGUGAAUCUUGCAUCUCGGAGGCAUAACAAAAUAGAGAUAUUGAUGUCUCUUUUUGUUAAGGGCUUGACUGCUAUUUGGACUAGACCUAUGUGAAUGUAAUUGUAACCAUCUUUUCUAUGAGUUUUAAUUUGUUCUGGUGUGAAUAACUGACAAGUUUUAUGUUCUUUACUAAGAAAAUAAGCCUUUUCAACUGUUUUGAUGUGAUGUUCACUCCUAAAAGAGGCUACUAACCAUUUAUUUUUGUAAAUGUUUUUACUACAAACCUUGGGGAUAUUCCAAUCUCCAAACUUGACACUGUCAUCUAUUUGAAAUUCUAAUUUUUGUUCUUCAUUUACUAUGCGACAGCCCGUCCCUAAUUUUAAGAAUUUUUAAAAUUUUAAUAAAGGAUUUUACAAAAAUGCCCUUUGAGGCACAUGCAUUAUUCGAGGUUAAUCGUUGUGUCGUACCAUCUAAGAUUUGUUUUCUUGUCAUAUCCUCGUAGUACUCGUCGCUACGGAUGCAUGGGCGCAGACGGUUCGUUAUUUGAAGUUAUAACGAAAAAGAUUUUAAAGUUUGAAGUUUGGCCAUUUUAUAAAUUUUAUUAUUAAAAUUUGGAUGGCCCAGAUUUAAUGAAGAUUAAAUGGAUGGCUUGGAUGUAAGGAAAAACAAAAUAAAUAAAUUUAAGUGAAUUAGGGUUUUGUGGUGUGUGUGUAUGUAACGGGAAAUGGGGAAGAAAAGAGAAGAAGAAGAAGAAGAGGGAAGGAGGAAUUCUGUUGCCCAAUCAGAGGAGAGGAAGGGAGAGACUGCCCAAUCAGAAGCAGGAGCAAGGAGGGAAAGGAGAGAGUGUGGCGUGUGGGGGAAAGGGGGAAACGGGUUCCCCAACCCGCGACCCGUGUGCACCCAUUUCCAUCCCUUCACAUUUUCCGGUGGUUUUCCACCGGAUUUCUCACGAAAUCGGACUAAGAAACCAUCCCCAAUCAUUCCCUAGUCCUUUCCUCUUCCAUUUUCAAUCAAAUUUUAUGGGAUUUGAACUUGAAUUCGAGUAGAACGAAAAUAUGGGUUCCGAGGAUGCCAUGGCAAAAUCCGACGAUCGUGAAGGUAAUCCAACAAAUUGCUACCACCACUAGACUCCCCUAGAACCCAGGAAUAAAGCCCAGGCAGUGGUGGAGGCGUCGGAGCAAGUUUGAAGGCCGAAUCGAAUCACACCCAAAUUCUAGGGUUCUUCACGGUUUUGGUGAAAUUGGAGCUCUUCCAGGCAAAAUUGGCCUUGUCCACAGGUAUAAAGUUUGCUCUACUCAUUGAGAUCUUCAAUUCUGUAUUUUUUUGAGAAUUUUUGGAAAUAGUUGGAUUUUCCGGCGAACCGGGCGGCCAACCGCCACCCGCGGCGGCCCGUGCAGCGGCGCGUGGCCAAUGGCCCGCCAAUGUCAUUCUUAGAAUGUGUUUAAGGUUCUAGGUUCAGUUUUGAUAAUUGAUGGACGUAAAUUGAAUAAUUGAACCUAAGUUCGUUACGAUUCGUGAUUAGAUGAAAAUGUGAAUUGACGAUCCGACCGUUGGAUCGUCACCAAACUUUGAUACGUUGUAAUACGUAAUAUUUGAGGAUUAUAGGAACUUACGGAUUGGGAAUCCGAUUUACGGAUCUUCCAGAAUUGGAGUUGUAAGUUCAUAAAAUAGAAUGUUAAUGGUCACUUGGUUUUGGAAAUUGAUGGAGAUCCGACCGUUGGAUGGUAAUGAAAUUUUAGGAUGUUGUUCUAGAGAUAUAUUGUGGACCUCUAGAAGUUAUGGAUUGGAAAUCUAAGUUGCAGAUCUUCCGGAUUGAACAACGUAGUGACGUAUUUUAUAUAAGUUAUAUAUUCUAUCGAUAUGAUUUCUAAGGUUGGAUUUGAUUAUUGUUUUAGGCGCCGAUCGUCAUGACGCCUUGACGUAUUGUGCUAGGGAGUUGUAGGGCGAACUCCAGGUGAGUGGGCAGUUUUGUUUUCGUAUUAUCUAUAUACUACUGUUUUCCCAGAAAAUGUGUUUAUAUGAAAAUAUGAUUUAAAUUGCCAUGCAUGCAAUUGUUGAGAUAUUUGAAUUGAUAAUUGAUGCAUAUAUAUGUGAAUUGACGCGGUGGACGCACAGGUGAGUCUUUACAUUAUUCAGACGAUUUAUUUAUGUGAAUUGCAUUGAAAGCUCAUAACCUGCACCCUAGGUGUUAGUGCUUAUAUUAUUCACCACACCGCACACUCACCUUGGAUCCAAGUAGGUGGAUGUCGUACAGACCACUAUAGGUGGUUCCGACAUGCCAGUCGUACAGACCAUUAGAGGGGUUCCGACUGGUGGGUGACCUUAGAUUAUGCGCGCCGAUGAUUGAUGAGAAGCACUAGAGCGUAUUAUUUCACCAUAUUAGUCGUACAGACUACUAUAGGUAGUUCCGACUUAUGUGCAGUGUAGUGCCGUACAGGUCACAGUUGGUGACCCCGGCUGGAUGGGAUAUUGAGCUAUAGAAUCAACCGUACAGGACCACUAUAGGGUCUCCGGUUGAUUUAUUAUUUCACCUGAUUUAUAUCGAUGCAUUCAUAUUAUAUUUUGGCAUGGCAUGACAUAUUCUUUCUGAGAUGUUAUGUUGAUAGAUGGUGAGCUGAGUUUCGAUGAUAUACGUAUAUAUAUGUUUAUAUACUAUUUUUCUAGGAAAGUAAACAGGUUUUACGGUGAGGGGUUAGAAAUGUUUUAAUUGAAAUGUUUUGGAAAAUCUUUGGUUUUACUGACCCAAUCAAUUUUGUUUUGCGCCCCUCCAGGUUCUAGAUAACAGAGCUUUGGUGGCCACGAGGAAUCCAACGGUGUUCUGAUAGAAUUCACAAAAGUAGGACUCACCCUCGGGUGUUUCAUCUUAGUAAUUGUAUUUUUAAAGCUUCCGAACUGUGUAAAUGGUUACGUCACUCUCACGUGACGGCCAGCAUGCCCUCUUUCGGGACGGGGUGUGUCAGUUGGUAUCAGAGCCUAGGUUGCAAUUCUGGACAUCUUGAGAAUUUCCUAGUGUCUUCUGUCAGAACUAUACCGCCUUGUAGCGAGCCACAUAGUUCGGAUGAGCCUAAAUUCCUUGAUAUAGUAGUUUGGGGGGAAACUAUUGCCAUUGUGAUUCAGUCUAUUAUCUAAAGGAACCUUUGAGACUGGUUAUAAGUUAAAUUUGAAUCACUUUAGGGAAAUGAAAAACCUAAGGGAUCAGAUUGAUGGCUUAAUCAUUUGGGAAAAGGCGUUUCGGAUUAUGCAAAGUCAAGGGAAUCUUCCUCCCGACAGGUGGGUCGAGUUGACUACCUAAUUUCUGAGUGUUGAAUCUGCAUUCUGAUGGAGAUAGGAAUGUUAUCCGAUGUUAUCGGAAGGACAGUUGUUUGGAAGUCGUUUAAAGAAUGGUUUAAGGAAAAGUUCAUUCCUCCGGCAUAUUAAUAUAAAGAGUUUAUAGACUUGCCUUGUUUCCAUUCGGAUGUAGUUGCUAAUCCGAUCGAGGUGUUAUGUCAUUUUUGGUUGGAUGAUAAGAAGAAGUGGCGUUCUUUGGCGACCACUAUCCAUUGUACUUUUUACCAGGAGUUUACGAGAUGUUGAGCAUUGAGGACUUUGAGAACAUGAUCAGCGUGAGUAAAGAGGAAUAAGAAAAGAAUGAGAAUCAGAAUAAAGACGAUAAAGUUAAAGAUCCGUCAUAUCAAAGACCUCGGAAGACUUAGAGCUUCAAAAGAAGUGAAACUAAAGCUAAUUUUCCCAGCUGAGGUUUUUGUGCCACUGGUCAGAGGCGAAGUGAUAGAUUUACUAGUGAUCCCAGAUUUCUGCGGCAAGGAGACUGGUAGAGGAAAUGUAUCUUUGUACCGUAGGUACAAUAUGAGGCACUCUGGAGAGUGUGGGAAGUUGUGAAUGUGUUCAUGUGGUUAGAUGAGACAUAGAGGUAUGAAUCGUCCCUAGGAUCAGUUGUUACCCAACAGUUUUCCUUGACAUAUCACUUGGAAAAUUGAUGAGUAAGUCGUACAGGUCACUAUAUGUGACUCCGACUUAUGUGCUAAUAUGGAUGGUCGAGCUGCAGACUCAGCCGUACAGGUCAUUCUAGCUGACUCCAGCUGAUAUAAUUCUUAUUAGUGACGAUGUUGCCAAAGGAAGUAGCGAAUGAGCAUGAUCAAGGCGUAUAUAUGUAUUUUCCCUGUCAGGAGUAAAAUGAUAAUAUUACACCCUUAAGAAUUGUUGCUUACUUAUCGAGACGAUAGUGAGUUAUCGUUAUUGCGGGCUGCAGACCGUAAUAUCCAUAACUUACUUGUUGGAUUCGUUAAGCAGGUAAGCAGGUAAGUCAUUCUAUAUCGGUUAUGAUUAUUCAGGGUGUCCAAUGAUGGUGGAAGAAGUAGUUAUGCCAGCGAAUCGCAUCCCGUUAGACAUUGUGGAUUUCGAUGUGAUUUUAGGCACAGAUUGGUUACAUUAAUCAUGCCAAUAUGGAUUGCUACGGGAAAUCAGUUACUUUCUAUUGUCUUGGAUUAUCAAAGGUUACUUUUGUGAUUGAGCAAAGUGGAGUGAGGCAUGCCGUUAUUUUUGUUGUGAGAGCAAAGAGAUUAUUAUCCAAAAGGUUGCCAAUGAUACCUAACUUAUGUGGUGUCGCAGGAUCGUACUCCUAGUAUUGUGGAUGACGUACGAGUGGUAGACAUUUUCCUAAUGUGUUUCCGGAAUGAUUUACAUGGAUUGCCACCAGGCAGAGAUGUGGUGUUCACUAUUGAAUUGUCUCCAAGUACAGACUUUAUGCUAUAGAUUGGUUCUUACAGAGUUAAAGGAAUUGAAAAUUCAGCCACAGGAAUUGGUUGAUAAAGGUUUCAGUCAACCUAGUACGUUACUUUGAAAAGCCCUAGCUUUGUUUAUAAGGAAGAAAGACGGGACCUUAAGAAUAUGUAUGGAUAUUAGGUAAUUGAAUCGGGUAACGAAUAAGAACCGUUAUCCAUUGCCGUGCAUUGAUGAUUGUUUGAUCAGCUUAGAGGUGCCUAUGAGUUUUCAAGAAAGAGUUGAGGUCUGGUAUACUCUUAAGAAAAAGUAAAGCAUGCUAGUCAGCUUGAGUUGGUGUUGCAAUAUUUGAAGGAACAUUGGUAGUAUGCAAAGUUUGACAAAUGUCAAUUUUGGACGAAUCAAGUGAUAUUUUUGGGACUUGUGAUAUCUGCACAAGGUAUUCAAGUAGAUCCUCAAUGAGUGACAACUGGGGAGAAUUGGGAACAACCUCGAACCGUCACUGAGGUACUGAGUUUUCUUGGUCUAGCAGGCUACUAUAGACGUUUGUAAAGGAUUUUUCAAUCAUUGCGUUGCCUUUGGCGAGAUUGAUGAGAAAAGAGGUUAAGUUUGAGCAAGGUUUCAGCAGCUGAAGUAUUAUCUCACUCACACGCCUGUUUUAACGCUUCCAGAUUAUAACGGUAAUUAUGAGGUUUAUAGUGAUGCUACGUUGGAUGUUCUUGAAUGCGCGUUGAUGCAACAUGGUAAGGUGAUUACCUAUGUUUCACGGCAAUUGAAACUUCAUGAGAUGAAUUACCCUAAUUAUGAUUUGGAAUUAGCAGUUAUCAUCUUUGCUUUGAAGAUUUGGAGACAUUGUCUUUAUGGGAAGAAAAGUGCAAGAUUUUUGUGAAUCAAAAGAGUAUCCAAUAUUUGUUUAUUCAGAGGUAUCUUAAUCAUAGUCAAUGAAGGUGGAUUGAGUUGCUUAGUGAUUAUAAUUGCACGACUAGGAUGAUCGUGCAAAUGUUGUGGCCAAUGCUUUUAGUAGGAAGACCCCAGUGAGAAUUAAUGCUUGGUACGAUUGCCAUGUUCAUCUUCUUGUGGAUUUGAGAUCUACUGGAGUAAUGUUGGGAAUGGAAGAUCGAAAAGAAAACGUACUUGCUAAUUUUCAAGUUAGACCUAUUUGGUAGGUCGUACUCGAGACUCAAGCGUUUGAUGAAGAAAUUUAAGAAUUUAUAUAAAGCAAGGAAUAACGGGAAAAAGAAGGACCUCAGAGUUAGAGAAUCAGAUGGCAAGCUGAUACAAGAGAACAAGGUGUUUAUACCUAAUGUUAUGGAAUUAAAGGAAGCAAUUUUGGAAUUCGUGUACUGUUCAACUUAUACAAGGCAUCCUGAAGGUAUUAAAAUGUAUCAUACCAUUCGACCAUUUUUAUUGGCCAGAUAUAAAAAAGGGGAAAUUGUUGAAAUUGUGAAUAGGUGUAUCAGUCGUCAGCAAGUCAAAGCAGAAAGAAAGAAGUCCUUUUGGAUUGAUGCAGCCACUUUCCGUUCCGCAGUGGAAAUGGGAAAAUAUCUAUGGAUUUUGUGUACAAGUUUCCUCGUUCACGAGAUGGUUAUGAUGAAAUUGAGGCGAUAAUUGAUUGGCUUACUAAAUCAGCGCAGUAUUCUUCAAUGAAAGAGCAGUAACCUUUCCAGAAGUGCAACAAUUAUUUAUCUGUCUUAUGGAAAAGAAAUUUGGGCUUACGUAUCUGUUGAACUUCUUGGGUAUGUUAGUCCUUUUAGUUUGUUCCCUAGAGCAACGCCAUAAGGCCGUGAAAAGCUGUGUCUUAUGUUUCGAAAUUGUUAGAAUUGUGGACGGAUGGUAUUCAAGGCCUUGAGUUAGUGGAAGAGAUUACUCGGAAUAUUCAAGUAAUUAAGUCUAACCUGGAAGUGAGCCAGGAUCGGCUGAAGAGCUUAGCAGACAAAUAUGCCACUGACCGGACGUGUAAUGCAGGAGAUUGGAUGUUUUGAAAUUAUCACCUUGGAAAUGUGCGGUUCGGGUCGAAAUGGAAGACAAGUUAAAUCCUAAGUACAUCAGGCCGUCUUUGACUAUUGAAGGAAUCGGUGAAAUACUUUCAAGUUUGAGUACCCUCGGGAUUGGAUAAGGUGUAUAGUAUAGUUCAUGUUUUGAUGCUUCGUUACAAAGUAGCAGAUUCGUCGCAUAUGAUUCCGGUUCAGCCUUGGAGAUUAAUCCGGAUUUGGCUUAUAAUGAGGAACCCAAGAUUAUUUUGGAAUAGAAAGAGGAAGUCCUGAGAAAUAAGACAGUGUACUUGGUAAAAGUUUUAUGGAGGAAUCAUUCAGCAGAAGAAACUACUUGGGACAAAAGAUCGAAUGAGAGGGAUGUGUUCCAGGUUGUUUUAUGGAUAUCGAUGGAUUGUAAAGAUUGUGUAAAUUUCGAGGACGAAAUUUUUUUAAGGUGGGUAGAUUGUGACAGCCCGUCCCUAAUUUUUAGAAUUUUUAAAAUUUUAAUAAAGGAUUUUACAAAAAUGCCCUUUGAGGCACAUGCAUUAUUUGAGGUUAAUCGUUGUGUCGUACCAUCUAAGAUUUGUUUUCUUGUCAUAUCCUCGUAGUACUUGUCGCUACGGAUGCGUGGGCACAAAUGGUUCGUUAUUUGAAGUUAUAACGAAAAAGAUUUUAAAGUUUGAAGUUUGGGCAUUUUAUAAAUUUUAUUAUUAAAAUUUGGAUGGCCCAGAUUUAAUGAAGAUUAAAUGGAUGGCUUGGAUGUAAGGAAAAACAAAAAUAAAUAAAUUUAAGUGAAUUAGGGUUUUGUGGUGUGUGUGUAUGUAACGGGAAAUGGGGAAGAAAAGAGAAGAAGAAGAAGAAGAGGGAAGGAGGAAGUCUGUUGCCCAAUCAGAGGAGAGGAAGGGAGAGACUGCCUAAUCAGAAGCAGGAGCAAGGAGGGAAAGGAGAGAGUGUGGCGUGCGGGGGAAAGGGGGAAACGGGUUCCCCAACCCGCGACCCGUGUGCACCCAUUUCCAUCCCUUCACAUUUUCCGGUGGUUUUCCACCGGAUUUCUCACGAAAUCGGACUAAGAAACCAUCCCCAAUCAUUCCCUAGUCCUUUCCUCUUCCAUUUUCAAUCAAAUUUUAUGGGAUUUGAACUUGAAUUCGAGUAGAACGAAAAUAUGGGUUCCGAGGAUGCCAUGGCAAAAUCCGACGAUCGUGAAGGUAAUCCAACAAAUUGCUACCACCACUAGACUCCCCUAGAACCCAGGAACAAAGCCCAGGCAGUGGUGGAGGCGUCGGAGCAAGUUUGAAGGCCGAAUCGAAUCACACCCAAAUUCUAGGGUUCUUCACGGUUUUGGUGAAAUUGGAGCUCUUCCAGGCCAAAUUGGCCUUGGCCACAUGUAUAAAGUUUGCUCUACUCAUUGAGAUCUUCAAUUCUGUAUUUUUUUGAGAAUUUUUGGAAAUAGUUGGAUUUUCCGGCGAACCGGGGCGGCCAACCGCCACCCGCGGCGGCCCGUGCAGCGGCGCGUGGCCAAUGGCCCGCCAAUGUCAUUCUUAGAAUGUGUUUAAGAUUCUAGGUUCAGUUUUGAUAAUUGAUGGACGUAAAUUGAAUAAUUGAACCUAAGUUCGUUACGAUUCGUGAUUAGAUGAAAAUGUGAAUUGACGAUCCGACCGUUGGAUCGUCACCAAACUUUGAUACGUUGUAAUACGUAAUAUUUGAGGAUUAUAGGAACUUACGGAUUGGGAAUCCGAUUUAUGGAUCUUCCGGAAUUGGAGUUGUAAGUUCAUAAAAUAGAAUGUUAAUGGUCACUUGGUUUUGGAAAUUGACGGAGAUCCGACCGUUGGAUGGUAAUGAAAUUUUAGGAUGUUGUUCUACAGAUAUAUUUUGACCUCUGGAAGUUAUGGAUUGGAAAUCUAAGUUGCAGAUCUUCCGGAUUGAACAACGUAGUGACGUAUUUUAUAUAAGUUAUAUAUUCUAUCGAUAUGAUUUCUAAGGUUGGAUUUGAUUAUUGUUUUAGGCGCCGAUCGUCAUGACGCCUUAACGUAUUGUGCUAGGGAGUUGUAGGGCGAACUCCAGGUGAGUGGGCAGUUUUGUUUUCGUAUUAUCUAUAUACUACUGUUUUCCCAGAAAAUGUGUUUAUAUGAAAAUAUGAUUUAAAUUGCCAUGCAUGCAAUUGUUGAGAUAUUUGAAUUGAUAAUUGAUGCAUAUAUAUGUGAAUUGACGCGGUGGACGCACAGGUGAGUAUUUACAUUAUUCAGACGAUUUAUUUAUGUGAAUUGCAUUGAAAGCUCAUAACCUGCACCCCAGGUGUUGGUGCUUAUAUUAUUCACCACACCGCACGCUCACCUUGGAUCCAAGUAGGUGGAUGUCGUACAGACUACUAGAGGUGGUUCCGACAUGCCAGUCGUACAGACCAUUAGAGGGGUUCCGACUGGUGGGUGACCUUAGAUUAUGCGCGCCGAUGAUUGAUGAGAAGCACUAGAGCGUAUUAUUUCACCAUCUUAGUCGUACAGACUACUAUAGGUAGUUCCGACUUAUGUGCAGUGUAGUGCCGUACAGGUCACAGUUGGUGACUCCGGUAGGGUCGUACAGGUCACAGUUGGUGACUCCGGCUGGAUGGGAUAUUGAGCUAUAGAAUCAACCGUACAGGACCACUAUAGGGUCUCCGGUUGAUUUAUUAUUUCACCUGAUUUAUAUCGAUGCAUUCAUAUUAUAUUUUGGCAUGGCAUGACAUAUUCUUUCUGAGAUGUUAUGUUGAUAGAUGGUGAGCUGAGUUUCGAUGAUAUACGUAUAUAUAUGUUUAUAUACUAUUUUUCUAGAAAAGUAUACAGGUUUUACGGUGAGGGGUUAGAAAUGUUUUAAUUGAAAUGUUUUGGAAAAUCUUUGGUUUUACUGACCCACUCAAUUUUGUUUUGCGCCCCUCCAGGUUCUAGAUAGCAGAGCUUUGGUGGCCACGAGGAAUCCAACGGUGUUCUGAUAGAAUUCACAAAAGUAGGACUCACCCUCGGGUGUUUCAUCUUAGUAAUUGUAUUUUUAAAGCUUCCGAACUGUGUAAAUGGUUACGUCACUCUCACGUGACGGCCAGCAUGCCCUCCUUCGGGACGGGGUGUGUCAUACUAUGUUUGGAAUUCUACUUAAACUGGAUCUGGAGUUAGUGUUGGCCAGUGAAUUAUAUCUAAAUAAUCUACUCAUAAUGCUCAAAAUGCAGGUUUUCAAAAUACAGAAAUCUUACUGGCUUUACCUUCCUCACAUAUUUGCUAAACUAUCUCUUCAAUCAUGCGGAUGCUAACGCCAACCCUAUGGACUUAUUGUUUGGAACACGCCUUAUUGUUUGAGUUAAGAGUAAAUAAUCCUACUUAGAGGGUUAACAAAUAAAAUAAACUGUAAGUGAAAAUUGAAGGAUGAACAAAAUGUAGUGAUUAUAGGCGGAACUAAGAUGUUUUCAUGUCCAGAUUCAUGCUUAGAGAAGAUAGUUGGUUACGAAUAAAACUUAAUCGUCAGUGAGUGAGAAGUGAGUGGUAAUUGAGUUAUAUAUAUAUAUAUAUAUAUAUAUAUAUAUAUAUAUUACCAAAUGGUUGCGGAAGUAGGGUAACAUAUAAAGCCGGAAAUAUCCGAUAUAUGUAUUUGGAAAUUCAAAGAAUUUGAUUAAUAUCAAUGUAAAAUUUUUAGGAUUAAUAACAAGAGCAUAUAUAAACAAAACUAGAUUUAAAAUAGAUUUAGUAUUCAUGAUAAAGUAAUGAAUUAAAAUUAAUGAUGCUGAUAUUCGAUUGAAAAUAUAUUUAUUGAAAAUCAAAUACGACUUACAGAAGUCUCGUCUAUUGACGAUUUGGAAAUUUAAAGACUGAUCCGGGAGCUCGCAGGCAUCCUUGAUUCUUAAAAUAAAAUAUAUUUAUAUUACAAUAUUUUUGCUGAGAAGCUGUAGACUCUGUUCGGAGUGAAUACGCAGAGUUUUCUUCUUUUUCGAAGUCCCCCUCAAUGAAGCUGGAGAUUUCCUCUUGUAGGCUGAGGAGAUGAUCCGGAAUGAUUGAAGGAUGGAAGCGGGAAUCCCGCUCUGCAUGUGCUACUGCUGUAAAGAGACCGAAAGCAGAAGAUGCUGUCGGAGACUGUGACUUUCACGAGGGUGAAUACUGUGGAUGAAUAGUAAAAGUGAUUUUACUAUUCAUGAAUAGUGUCUUGCCUGCUACUGCUGUUUUCACUUGCGGCUGGCACUGUCUUCAUAUGCAGCAAUUACAAAAUACUCUACUGAGUCUAGAUACAAUGUAUGCUACAGAGACGAAUUUAGUAAUUCCUAUGCAUGCUAUUACAAGUUUAAAAUUCGUAAGGGUCUUGGGAAUCAGGCGGGAAAAUAUUUCCUUGUGUGGCUACUGCGCAUUGUGACGAAGCAUCCGAAGAAUUGUCAGAGUCUGAACUAUCUUCAUUUUCUUCUUGCAGUUCCUUCAUGAGGAUUUUGGCUAGAGCCUUGAGCUUUGAUGAUUUCUUCUUCUUCGAACUGCUCGAAGAUUUGGAUGACUUGGUCUUGCCCUUGAGAGAGGAAGAAGGACUAAUGUCCGAUAAUGAAUCGAUUUCUUCCUUGGUUGGUUCUGGUAAAGCUGAAGCUGGAGGAGCUGCUACUGCAGGUACUGGAUUAGAACCCAUGGGGAAGUCCUUGAGCACAACUUCAAUGAUCUUCUGGUAGUUGAACUUGUCCCACCAUUUGAUCAUUCUCUGUCGAAAGACUUGAUUGGAUUCAAUCUCGUAGUUCCAACGGAGGAUCCAGGGGACCUUGUAUUUUGCCAUGAACAGGGCGAAUAAAGGGAUUCCUUCAUCAAAACGCGUUCUAUCGAACUUCUUCUGGAAAGUGCCUGAUAGGACUUGCUUGAAUUCGUCAGGCAUGAGGUCAGAGAUAAGGCCAUGUUCUGACCACCAUCUGGGAAACCAUGCAGGAAAAUUCAACCUGAAACUUCGGUCAAAGGUUAUGAACCAUGAAUGACUAAAUCUUCGGAUUGGUGCAGGAAGAUGUUAGUCCAAGCUUGAAUGUAAUCAAAAUAGGUAUAAUGGUUUGAGUGACUGGGAAAGCUACUGCUUUUAAAAGGCUUAGGCUGGAAAAGUGGAACUUGCCAUUCUGAUUCUAAUAAGAAUUUAUUAAUGAUAAGGGAAUGAUACAGGAUUCUGUUUUGGUUGCCAGAGGAUUUGUCAUAGAUAGGUUUUAUGGUGAUGGAUGAAGUCUCAUUGAGAAUAGUGGUAUAGUAUUUGAGGGUUUUGUGAAAUUCACUUGGCUGAAAAUGGGAAUUGGUUGGAAACAUCUUUUUGGCUAUUACCUCAGGUGUUUUCAGAUGUUUGAAAUUGAAAGGGAUACUGAAGAGAUACUCUUUGGAGGGUUUAAUAAUAUAAGGGGAUGAUUUUGUAUAACUUACUGAGGGAGAUGGCGAUUGCCUGUAGGUAGAAGAGAAAGGAUCAUAUUGGUUUACUAACGCUGUUUGGUAAUUUGGUCGGAUACUUCCUAGAGUUGAUCCUAAUGGAGUAAAUCUAUUGGUAAUGGCUAAGGCCGAGGAACCGGGAAUAGGUUCCUGUUUUGGUGGUGGUAAUGAGGCAGGAAGCCUCCUUUGUUGGCUACUGCCUUGUGGAGAAGCAGUGUUCUUAUUAGACAUUCUUCCCCUGCAAAAAUUCUCUGGUUAGGAAAUCUGGAAUGCAGUUAUGGCUGCCUUUAAUGUAUUCAAUUUCAAAAUCAAAGAUUGAUAGUAUGGCUUGCCAUCGUGCAAAAAUCUGUUUUGAUGCAAUGUUUUGAACAUCUUUUUGUAAAACAUGUUUUGCAGAUUUGCAAUCAACUCUAACGAGAAAUUUUUGAUUUAAUAAAUCAUCUUGAAAUUUACUAAUACAUAAAACUAUAGAAAGUAUUUCUUUUUUAAUAGUACUAUAAUUAGUUUGAGCAGGAUUCCAUACACCUGAAUGGAAACGAACAAUUUGUUCAGGUGAUCCGGAUGAAGUUUGCUGUUUGAGGAUACCUCCAUAACCAACGUCAGAGGCGUCAGUUUCAACAAUCUUAAAAGAGUUGGGAGUUGGAAUGCCAAGACAGGGCAAGGUCUUAACAUAAUUUUUGAUCUGUUUGACAAUAGAAGUAUGAAUGGUAGACCAGGCAAGAGGAUUCUCCUUAAGACGAUCAAACAAGGGUUUACAUUGCUGACGCAAAUGUGGAUAGAAUUCAGAAACAUAAUUCAAAGAACCUAAGAAUCUUUGAAGCUGGGGUUUUUCAGUAAUCUGAUCUGGAAAUUUAUCUGCAAAUUGGAUGACACGGUCAAUGGGUUGGAUAGUAGACCUAUGGAUAUUAUAACCUAAAAAUCUAAUCUUAAGUUGAAACAACUUAAUUUUAGUGGCUGACACAACCAAUCCAUUUGAUCUAAUGAUCCUAGCAAACAAGUGUAAAUGUUUCCAAUGUUCAUCUAUAGAUCUAGAGAAAACAAGAACAUCAUCAAUAUAAACAAUUGUGAAAUGACUAUACUGAUUAAAAAUCUCAUUCAUAAUAUUCUGGAAUUCAGAUGGUGCAUUCUUCAAACCAAAAGGCAUAACAUUCCAUUCAUAAUGGCCGAAAGGCGUUACAAAAGCAGUUUUAUACUUAUCAGAUUCAUGGAUUUGGAUUUGCCAAAAACCUGAUUUCAUAUCAAACUUUGAGAAAAUAGUUGCUUUACUAAGCCUUUUUAUUAAAUCUCUUUUGUUGGGGAUUGGAUAUCUAAUCCAUUCCAAAACUUCAUUCAAGGGUUUGUAGUUAAUAACUAAUCGGGGAGAACCCCUCUCAAGUUCUGCACUUUUCUGAACAUAAAAUGCAGGACACGACCAAGGUGAUUUACUUUUCCGGAUAAUUCCUUUAUUAAGAAGGUCUUGUAUUUCUGCUUUACAGAAAUCCAUUACUUCUUGACUCAUUUGAAUGGGUCUGGCCUUAGUAGGGAUUUUUGACUCAUUAAAUUCCUUGAUAUACGGUAAUUUAACGAUAUGUUGUUUGCGGUGCCAAAAGGCAUUGGGAAUAUCAGAACAUACUUCUUUAACAAGUUGUUCUUCAAAAUUAAGGAUUUUUUGAGAUAUAAUCUCUUGUUUGAGUUGUUCUUCAGUUCUUUUAUGAUGAAUAUCAUCUUUCAAGAAUUGAAGGUGUUUAGUCUUAUUAGAAAUUAUAUUUAAGGAUCGCGAAGUGCUAUCCUUCUGGAGAUGCCUAAGUUUUUUGAGGUCUGUUUCCAGGCAGAACUCAAAAGUGACUUUCUGUCCUAAGACCUUUGAGGUAAUCCUAUUAUGAUGUGUUUUAAAAGGGUAGAGGAGUGCUAUAAAGGGUAGUCCUAGUAUGACAGGGUCAGAUAAGUUCUUAAUUAGAACAAAAGGUGUUUUGAAACAAACUUCAUCUUGGCAAACAUGCGCCUUAGGAAGUUCAUAUUUGAUCUCCAUUGGAGAUUCAUUAGCAGCACUAAGGAUUUCCUUGGACUUGUGGAAAUACCUAGUGGGAAUCAAUCCUUCUUGAAUACAAUUCAAGUCUGCACCAGAAUCAAUUAAAGCAAUGGUUUCGAAGCGAAAGUCUUCAAUUACUAUUGUUACUUUAGAAUACCAUUUUUGGAUUCUAAUUUUGUGGAGAAGAUUCAGAACUAAGCGUUCUGAAUGUGUAUCAGAUUCUGACUCAUGGUGACUACUGGAAGAAGAGGAACUGAAUAGUUCUUCUUUUGGAGGAGUAUCGGCUCUAGUGAGUUGUGUACGAAUCUCGUGAUUAUCAGAUUUUAGAAGUUUAAUUUCUUCUUUUAUCUGAUUAAUUUCUUUUUGAAGGUCACUGACCGUAAUUUCUUUCUUAGGUUUACUAAACUUUGCUAGAGUAGUACUAAGAGAGAUUUGGGGUUUUUGGAUUUGAGAUUGGCUAGUGCCUACUUCUUCUUGAGAAACUAAAUUCUUAAGCUUUUUGAGGUAGAACCUUUUGAGUUCAGUGUCCUCAACAUUGCUUAUUAGUUCUAGGAGUAAUUCUUCUUGUUUUUCUUGUUUAGUUAGUACUGAUAUAUUUUUACAACAAGCAUCAGGACAUCCGAUCUUGAUGUUCGGGAUAGAGUGCUUACUAGAGGCAGAAUGGUAUGAGGAUGAAGAGGUGGAACCUAGAUCAUCUUCAGAUGAAUGACUACUGUCGGUAUUUUGGAGUUCUAGGGCUUGGAUAAGUUGAAGCUUUUCUUCCUCAGAAAUCUUCAACUGACUUAUGGUUUUCUUAACUUUACACUUAUUAGCAUAAUGCCCUUCUUUGCCACAUUUGUAGCAUUUUCCCUUAUGACUAUUGUCCUUAGAAUGGAAUUUUCCAGAGGGUUUUCUCUUUCCUUUCCAUCUUUUCUGUUUGGGGUUCUCAUAGAAUGGGUUUGGUUUGGCAUACUUGCCUUUAUGAUAUUUGGAGUAGCUGGUCCGCGGUUUGGAGAGCUUAGAUCUAUUGAAGGUAGUUGAUCUCUUUUUAAGGUUGGAAGGAGCGAUAGGUGGUAAACCAUAUUGCUCACAAAAGGUUCCUAAUUCAUAUUUGGCGAUAGCCUUAUCAGAUUGCCCUUGUCUAGAUAUUUUCAUAUCUAUACACAUUUUUAGGCCUUCUUUCUGGAUAGUACUUAUGAUAUGUCCAUAAGUAAGAUCAUUAUAUGGUAUAACACCAUCUUCGUUAAUUAAGGUAUUCCUUAUUUUGUGUGCAAAAAGGUUUGGUAAUCCAUUUAUAAAUUUUUCUUUCCAAAAUGGUUGAUUACUAUCAUCUCUAAGCAUAACUCUUGACAUAAAUAUAUCUUUAUACCAUCUAAAAUCACUUAGGGUCGGACACCUUAAGUUACUUAGUUGGUCAUGGAUUCUAGAUGUGAUGUUGGAAGGGAUUCCUAUGAAAUGUUGUAUGAUUGUAUAAAGUAAGGUAUUGACAGCAUCUGGGACGCCCCGUCCUAGAUGUUCAUCGAAGAUAGGUAUUCCUUCUUCAUCUUGUUUUACUGCAUUUCUUAUUAGAUUUCUGGAUUCUUCAGUGAGAUGUUUCUCCCACCAGGAAUGAAGCAUUCCAGUGAAUCCGGAGACAAGGAUGUCAACUAUUUGGGUUUGACUAAGGUCAUGAUUAGUGAUAUAGCUAUUUGCUACCAUGGAAAUGUGUUGGAGUUUGUUUAAUAACUCUUGUUCUGAUAAUCCAUCUAUAUUCCAUUCAUAGAGUUUAUCAGAUGAAACAGUGAAUUGGGAUUGGAAAUUCCUUUCUUCAAAUUGAAGAUCAGGAGGUGUUGGUCUAGGAUACCAGUUUUUAGUUAAGGAUGUAGGAUUAGUCCUUUUAGUGUUAAGGCGUUUUAAUUCAAGACUCUGAAAGGCUUGUUCCAUUUGAUUGAUGGACUCAAUACUUUCAUCUUCUGAAUCUGGAAUUGAGGAAGGUGUUUCAGAAUCAUGUGGGUUAUUAAUCACACGAACUGAUUUGUCCUUUUCUAGCUUAUGAAGCAUUUGUUCUAUCUUAAUAGAUGUUGAGGUUUUUAAAGAGGGUGACUCUCUAAAACUAGUUAAAGGUAUUUCUUUACUAAGUGGUUUGAUUGACAAAUUGUCAACCUUAGUUUCGAUUUUAUCCAACUGUUUUCCUAUGAUAUGUAGGCUUUGGUUGGUAAAAUUGUUUUGUUCAAUAACAGGUUUGACACCUGCAUCUUCCUUCGGAAGUUUGAACGGUGAGGCUGGGACCUGCGUAUUCGCAGUACUAAUAAGUAUAGUUUCUUGUGGAGGGUGACUGGAGGAGACAACUGUCUUGUCUUCUUUAAUCCAGUUUUCUUUGGUGAUUACCUUUACUUGGUUUUCAGACUCAUAAUGUUUUUCUACGAAGUCGAAGAAAAAUAUUUCAAGUCUGUUGGUUUGCAUGAAGUCUUUCCAUGCCUUAUGGAUUUCUAAUUUCUCUUCAGCAGUAUAUUUACUUCUGAAGAUGUUUCGUCGAGGGACAUUUUCUAAGGCUUCGAUGUCUCUACAGAGUUUCUUACGAUCAUACUUAAAAGGUUCUUGUCUGGUUAAAACCAAUAGUUGGUGGUGUACUGGUUCUGCAUCAAAAUCAGAAGCAGUUGGGGAUGUUUGUUCUUCCUUAGGGGGAAUGGAUGGAGUAUGAUAGGUAGGUUGGACUACUUGAGCGUUUGUCUCAAGUGAUUGGAGUUUGAAAUUUAAAAGGUCAUUUAUUAAUUCUUGUUGGGUGACAGAAGAGCCUGUAUCUACUGAUUUUAAUUUCCUAUCAGCUAGGGAAUUGAUUAAUUCUUGGUCUCGACCUUGCCUAUCGGUUGGCAUAGAUCCAGAGAAAGAAUUCCUAUUGGAAGUAAAGGAUUUAAAUGAUCUAUUAGACUCACAGGAAUUCCUAGCAGGACGAUCAAAAUUAAUUUUAACCGUACCGUCAAAGUAUUGCUCUACGUUGUCUAAAUUAACUAGACUAUUUUGAAUGGCUACUGGCCGACUCUCGUUUAUCAGACACCAAUCUGAAGGGAGAUUGAUUUCUGACCACCUAAUGGUUCGAGGUAUUUUAAUAUUGGCAUUCUCUUGAUCAGUCUGGAUCAAAAGAGUAUGAUCCUUCGGACUUUUGGUUAAAGCCUGAAAGUUCAUAUUUGUGCCAGUAACUUUAUAAUAAAUUCUAUAAAUCAAAGCCAAAGGCUGUGUUCCUUCUAGGACUUUAUAUCCUGAAGUUUUGAUAUUUAGUGUAAGUGCUUUUAACAUAUGUGGGUCAGACAGACUUAUGGUAAGAUCUGGAAAGCAGUCAAAAUGGAUAGGUCCAUUACAGAGGCUGGAUUCAACCAUACCAAGUAUACUAUCACUGAAGUCAGUGAAUCUAGCAUCUCGGAGACAUAAGAGGAUAGAGGUAUUAAGACCUCUACGUGUUAAUGGUUUGGCUGCAAUUUGCACUAAACCUAUAUGAAUAUAAUUAUGACCAUCUUUCCUAUGGGAAUUAAUUUGUUCUGGGGUAAACAAUUGGCAAGUCUCAUGAUCUUUACUAAGAGCAUAAGCUUGUUCAACCGUUUUGACAUGGUGUUCAGUUUUAAAAGAGGCGAAUGCCCAUUUCUUUUUAUAAAUAUUUUUUUGAAGAUAUUUUUUGGAAUAUUCCAUUCAGCAAAAUCUAGACUACUGUCUGUUUGAAAUUCAAAUUUUUGUUCUUCAUUGACAAUAUCAGGUAUAGUUCCUAAAUUUGAUCUAGAGCUAGUGCUGGCCAUAGAAUUAGAUCUAAACAAUCUACUCAUACUUAAAAAUUCAAACAAUCAAAAAACAGAAACCUUAACAGAAAAUCUUACUAGUGCUUCUAAACACCAAGCUCUCUGGGUCAUGCGCGCCGCUCAGGCCCUAUCCUCCGGGACUUACUGUUUGGGUGACGCCUUACUGCUCAGACCUUAUGGAGAUCAGGAGACACUAAAAAGGUUAAACUGAAAAGAUUAACUAUAAAGAGACUGAAUAAAUCAAAAGCAUAAACAGAGUAUUCAGACGCUAAUGGUAUACCAACCACACUUGGCUCUGAUACCAAAUGGUUGCGGAAGUAGGGUAAUAUAUAUAUAUAUAUAUAUAUAUAUAUCAAUAACACAUUUUUAUUAUUUAUUUCACAAGUCUUAAUUAAAAAAUAUGAACCUCAUCAAGAUCGAAAAAUCCACUGAGUCACUCAUAAUUACCACCCAAUAUCAUAGGUUGAGUUCACAUUUUAAUUAUCAUGGAAACAAAUAUUUAUUUGGAAAAAUUUGUCCAAACAUUUUUCCAAACACAUUUCAAUUUCGAUUUUCCAAAAAUCUUAAAGAAAAAUCAUUUAUGGGCAAAGGCCCAAUUCAUUACUUUUUCAUGCUACAUGUAACAGCCCGUCCCUAAAAAUUAUGAUUUUUAUAAUUUUAAUAAGUGAGUUUACAAAAAUGCCCUUCGAGGCAAAGUGUUGACUUUUGUUGACUGUUGUGUCAUGUCACGUAAGGUUCAUUUUCUUGGCGUAUUUUAUUAGUACUCGUCGCUACGAACACGUGGGCGCAAACGGAACACAAUUUGGAGUUAUAAUGAAGGAGAUAUUAACGUUUAAAGUCAAGGGUAAAAUUGUAAAUUUCUAUUUUCUAGAAAACUCCAGAUUUAUAGAGUUUAAUCUAGUCAUGCCACGUGUGUGGCUGGGAUUGAAGCAAGGAAAGAUGGGCUGUGCGGAUGGGAAAUAAAGGAGGAAUAGGGGAAAGAAGUGGAGGAAUGAGGAGAGGAAAGAGAAAGGAACAGACCAACAAGAGAAGAGGGAAAUGAGGGAAAGGAGGGAGGAGAAAAAGGAGGGGAAUGGGUCGGGUUUCCCUUUGACCCGCGCGAUGACCCGGUUCCUUUAGUGUUUUUUGACGGUUUUCCGUCCAAAUUUCCGGCUUUCUUCAACCUUCUAUCACCACCCAACCUCAUCACAACAUCCUAGCACCUAAUUCUAACCAAAACCCGAUGAGAUUUGCUUUAAUUGUGCGGGGAAAACCACCCAUGGGUCUGAGAAUUUCUUAGUGUUGAUCCUCCAAUUGUGAAAUGUUUUCUUUGAAUUACCACUACCACUAGACUUCCCUUGAGGCCAGGAACAAAGCCCAAUCAACAUUGGGGGCGUCAAAGUUUGUUUUGGAGGUCGAAUCAAACACACCCUUUAUAGGGUUUCCGGCAGAUUUUCGUGAAAUUGGGGCUUUUCCCUGCAAAAUAGUCCUUAGUGCCGAUUGUUCGUGACGCCUCGAAGUUGUGCUAGGGAAUUGUAGCGUGGACUCCAGGUGAGUGGGCUUUUGGUUUCAGUAUAUAUAUAUGCUUGGUAUUUUUCCCAGAAAACUUAUUUAAAUGGUUGUAUGCUUUGAAAUGCCAUGCCAAAUGUUUUAUAUUUAGAAUAUGCAUUUAGUAGUUGCUUAUGUUAUUGUUGACACUGCAGACGCUUAGGUAAGUUCCAGGUGAGUUUAUAGAUUGUGGAUGUGAGUUAUAUGAUUAUUAUGAUUACCUUUGAUGCAUUUAGAGCUCAUAAACCUGCACCUCGGUGUUAGUGCUCUUGCUCAUGGCCAGGGCACAGUCAUUCACGUGAUGUUCACCUCUCGCACCGCACGCUCACCUUGGAUUCAAGGUUGGUGCACAGUCCUGUCGUACAGACCAUUAUAGGUGGUUUCGACUCGUAGGUGACCCGCGAUUAUUCGCAUAGUAUUCAUGUGAUCGUAGCACUUGAGCGUACUUAUUACACCUAAUCAUGUCGUACAGACCACAUUAGGAGGUUCCGACUUGUGUGCAUGCAUACUUGAUGAGCUAUAGAUUCAGCCGUACAGGCCACAAUAGGUGGAUCCGGUUGACAUUUCACUUUCAUUAAUUUACUUCACUUGGUUUACUUAUUCAUUAUGCUGAGAUAUUUGACAUGGCAUACAUGUGGAUUUUGGUUUUUCAAUUAUGGUUUUGAUAUACGUAUGUAUUAUUAUUUUCUGGGAAAUUAUAUGGGUUUUACAGUGAAGGGUUAUUAUUUAGAAAGAGAAAUGGUUUUGAAAAUCUUUGUUUUUGCCCAAUCACAUUUUCUGUUUUGCGCCCUUCCAGGUUCUAGUAGCAAAGUUUCUGUAUUAUCGAGGAUUCGUGGCAUAUCCCGGUACUGGUGGCUUCCUAUGAUGGUAUAAUCCUUAUCUUACCUUACUAUACUUUACUUAUGCUCUGACAUCACGUGUGAAAUGGGUCUAUACCCGUUCACCGUGCAUCGUGUACUUAGGCACUUUUAGGAUUAAAUUUAUUAACAUUUUCCACAUCAUCACACUUUUUGGCUUCGUCACCUUCCGGGCGUCGGCCAACACAUCUCGAUUCAGAGUCUUAGUGAACUUUCUGGAUCGGGAUGUGUCACUACAUCCAAAGACUGCAAAGCAAAAAAAAAAAAAAAAAAAAAAAACAAAAAAACAAAAAAGAAAAAAGGGUAAAGGCCCAAACAACCAUAUAGCAUCCAUGCAUAUAAUGGGCUCUUUGUUGGAUUUAAAUUAGAGUUUUACACAAUGAGCUCAUUAACUGGGUCUCAGUAAAUGUGGCCAAGUUAAAUCUAAGAGGGGUGGCAGCACUAAGCCCUUAAAAACCGGCCCUCUUAGACACCUCAGUUGUCUUCUUAAAGAUCCUUCCCUUGAAGAGGUGACUACUUAGUAAACCCCAGCCCAAUAUCUAAUUUUGUGCCCAACUAGACCAUGCGGGAUGAGCAUCCUAAAUAUGGAUCAUUUUCCUAAAUGCCAUGCUCAUAAGAAGCCUAAUAAAAUACACAAUUAUUCGUAAUUAAAUAAUUUAGAAUAAACAAUUAUAUAUUAAUUACAGAAGAUAAUCACUUAGAUAAUCAAUUCAAAUUAAUUAAGAAGAUAAUCAAUUCUAAAUAAUUAAUAAAGAAAUAACCACUUAGAAAAUUAAUUCACAUUAAUUAAUGAGAUAAUAGUCUCUUAAUAAUUCUAAUUCUAAUUUGAUAAUCAUGAUAAUAUGAAAAUCAAAUCACCUAAUUAUAAUUAAUGCCAAUAAAAUAAUAUUCUACAAAAGAAUAUUUUUCUUUCCAUUUAAAUGCUUUAACAUCAGAACGAGCAAUUAAAAUGAAAUAAUAUCUCGUAUAAAAUACUCAAUCAAGACGAGUAAUUUAAACUUACAUAAUAUCCCAAAAUCGUGGAAAUGAUCUUCCUUCAAGAAAUCUGUAAAUUCCAAAUUUCUAAUUUAAUGAGGACAAUUUCCCAAGACCAUAUCACACUCGAUAUGCAUCCGUUUUGAAGCGUAUUUUAUUUCACUGGAAAGGCCAUAUUACGAGCUACAACUUCUGUUUCUGGAACAAAUUCCAAAAACUGACACUAAUAACACGACAAAGGGCUCACGAAUCUGGAAAUAAAAUCACGUUAUUUCUCACAAAUUUUCUGCAGAAAUCCUAGAUUUCAGACAAGCAAAGGCAUGUUUGCGAUGCCAUAUCUUCUUUAAUACCCGUCCAAAUGACGUAUAUUUUAUAUGGUUUUGAAGCAGAUGGCAAUCUACAAAGCCCAAGCAAAACAAUACAGAAAAGUCAAAUACACGUACCCUAAAUUCAACCUCCAAAAUAGUUGAAAAACAGAAAUUUUCAAGAAAUCACAAAACUAGGGUUUGUGAGUUCUCUCAAACCGUGACACAUGUUUGCACGAAAUUUUGAGGGAAUGAAUCUGACACAUAGGAGAACGUAUUUCUAAAAAUAAAUCCUCAAAAAACGUGACAAAUCAAAACGUGAUUUUUUCGGGUUUAUUCAACCAUGGUGGAUAUCAUGCUUUUCACAAGGCGAGGAACGAGCCCUAUGGCUCUGAUACCACUGUUGCGAAUGUAGGCAAAUAUUACAAAGAAUUCGAUAUAGGAUAUACCUAGCAGAAUUGACGAAUUCUAAUUCUCAGUCUCGUUCCUACAAACCGUUGCAUAAGCCACGAAAGAGAGUGUCACCCAAUGGAGGAUUUGGUUGCAUCUAGUCUAGUUAGAUUGCCCACGUACCUUGUGCCAAUGCACAAGGUUCAAACCAUUGUAUUUCUUAGUAGCCUCCUAAUCCUAGGGCCAAUGUGAUACCUUAGAGGCUAAACUAUGAGAGAAAAAGAGUAUUGAGUGUGGAGAGCAUUUCUCUCCUCUCUAGAGUUAAGAGAAUUGUUUUUCUUGGUGUGUUUUCUCCUUUCCCCAAACCCCUCUUUAUAUGGUGGCUAGGGGGGGAAGAGAAAAGGUAAUAGUCAAUGUGGGACAAAUAGCACAUAUCAAUAAAGCACCUCAUGUUGAGUGGAUUAAUAUUCUCUUUAAGCUACUAGAAAAAACUAUUUGCGUGACAGAUUUGUGCAAUGAAGGAGUCGACGUCGUGCAAGGGUGUUUCGCAUGACGAAAUUAAGGCGCCGCGCAAAUUCAUGACACUAAAAUUAAAGUACCAAAAAAUUUGUGCGAUGCAAAGUUUCGUCGCACAAAAGGGCAUUGCACGAUGAAGAAAGGACACUGUCAUACAAAGUUUGGAAGAAAACCACAGGUAAGCCCUUAAUUGGCACUAAACAAAUGCACAAUAAAACAUUUACAGCAAAAAUCUUGAGCGGCAAGGCUUCGUCAAGCAAGGAGUCAACAUUUAUGCCAAACAGUUAGUUUUUGAGUUGGAGAAAUCAAUGCUAUAACUGUAGGGUUCUACACAACGAAGGCUUCGUCAUGCCAGGUCCCUAAGUUUCCUUUAAAUUUAAAAUUUCGCUCUCCCUAUUCCUCACAAUUCAUUUCGUGUGACAACCCAUCCCUAAUUUUAUGAUUUUAUAAAUUCUAAAAGUGUGAGUUGACCAAAAUGCCCUUAGAAGAGAGAUUGUUGACUUUCUUUGAUCAACAUUUCGUGAUGUGUACGAGCUUCUAUUUUACCAUAUUCUUGAAGUACUCGGCCGUACGAACGCAUAGGCACAAGCGGAAUCGAAGUUGGAGCUACGAUAAAGAUUUUACGAAACUACGAAGUAGAAUGGCAUUUUAGUAAAUUCAUUAUUUCAAACAUUCACCCUUAUUAUUUUAUUAUUUUCUUAUGGGACAUCUGUGUCCAUGGAACCCACCCAUGUGGGCAUCUUUUCCUCUUUGUCCCUGUGUCCUCUCCUUUUCUCUCUCCCGAACAUCUCUCUUUUCACCAACUCCACCUAUCCUAUGUCCCCCCAUUCUCUUAGACCUCUUAUUUCUUGCCACCUCACAUCUCUCAAACUCUCAAACUCUCAAACUCUCAACUCUCUUUCUUCUUCCUCAGCAAACACCGAGAGGGUGCAAUCACCUCUACCACCACCACUCGUCGUCUCCGGCGAGCCAAACCUUCAAGUCACCACCAAAUCUCUCCACAUCGGUGAAGGUUAUCAACGUUCCAGCCUAAAACUAGAACUAAGGUUACGAACUCGAACCCUAGAACUCGACCUCCAUAUUUUUCGACAAGGACCUCUCGGAAUUUAGUGUGGGAAGCAACACAGGAGGAAGUUCUCCAGUUUUCUUGCAAGAGAUCUGGCCAUUUCGAACCGUUUUUCGGCCAAUUUCGGCAAGACAAGACCCCAUGUUGGUGCGAUUAUUAUCGGUGACCCCAACUUUUUUAGUUUGAGUGGCUGUGACCUUGCAAAUAUCUGUUUUAGUGCUGAGCUUUCUUGUCGACAAUGAUUCUUGGCAAAUCUCGGUAUAGAUGGCUACCUUUGAUGGUAUAAUUCUUAUCCUACCUUACUGUACUUUACUUAUGCUCUGACAUCACGUGUGAAAUUGGUUCAUUCCUGCUCACAAACGCACUCUUAUAUUUGGGCACUUUUAGGUUUAAAUUUAUUCACAUUUUCCACAUCACUACACUUUAUGGCUUCGUCACCCUCUGGGUGUCGGCCAUCACAGCUCGAUUCAGAGUUCAAGUAGACAUUCUGGGUCGGGGUGUGUCAUUUCGUAAACACUUUACUUUUUUCUGGAUUAUUAUUCCAAUUGUUGUUUGAAUUUCAGUACGAUGGCCGACUCUAGUGCUUUCGUCAAAGAGAAUUGAGGGCAAAGGUUCUAGAAAAGGUAAUAUGUACUAAAUUUGGUGUGUGGUAUAAAUUAUAUAUUUAGCUUGACUAUUUAAAAUUUAUAUUUUGUUAGUAGACAAGAAAAAGAAGAGAGUUGCGCCUCGAGUUUGAUACACUUUUGGUGGGAGAUGAUACCGAAUCACGUAUAAAGAAUUAAAGGGAUUUGGUGUGUCGGAGAUGCCCUCCAGGUUUAGGUGCAAAAUUGGGGCAUUAGUGCAUACCAAAUGUUAUGUGGAGUGGAAGUCUUGGAGAGACUUGCCCGAGGAGUUCAAGACGCACUUGAUUGAUGAGUUAGCUAUACGUGUUAAUUAGUUAAAUAAUAAUUAUAUUCCAUAAAUAAUAUAUUAGAUUGAUUUAUAAUUUAUUAUUUUUUGCAUUACAGCUUAAUUGGGACAUUACAAAACUGACCCAAAUAUGAUGAAGUGCAUCGACAACAUAUCCAAGUUGUCUUUCUGGCGUGGAAGUUUGAUGCUUAACGUGAGGCAAAACUGCUGUGAAUACCUGAACCACCAACGGUGGGGUAGAUUUUUUGUUGUUGUUGUUGUUGUUUUAUUUUUUAUUUUUUUUUAAAUUUUAAAUUUUUAAAUUUUAUGGUUAAUUGAAUAAUGACAUUUGACUUUUAAGUUUAUUUUGUAUGAACGGUACUUUUAAAUAUGUCUUUAAUGUUUUUGUUGGAUGCAAUGGUAUUGUGAUAAAUGUUUAUGUUAAUUAAAUAUGUAUGAAUGCUUUAGUUAAAUAAUUUCUUGAUUAUUUGGGUGUUGUUUUAUUAAUGUUUUUAUUAAAUAUUUAUGUGGUUAAAAAUAAAUUAAAGAAUGAAAAAUAAAUAUUAAUUAAUAAGAAAAAUAAAUAAAUGUUGCGGGAUGAAGCUUCGUCUCACAAAGGUAAUUUUGUGCGUAGCGCACACUAGGUUGAUAAACACGGCAAAAAUGCGAGGGAAUUGGCGCCAAAAGUGUCGAAGGCAGAGGUUUUGCAUGACGAUACCUUCAUCGUGCAAAUUGUGAUGAACUUUAUUACCACAAACCAAAAUGCAAGGAGGUAGAAACUGCAAAACAAUUGCAGCAACUGCCUCGCUCCUAAUAAUUCCUGACUACUCUUAAACGUCUUGUCAAUCUCAGCAGGAAAAUCACUUCCACCUGUCUAACUUUACGAGUUUGGAGGUAUAUUUUCUUAAAUAAUUUAAUUUCCAUUCAUUUAACUUGUUUAGUUUGUAUUUUAGAUUUUUUGUGAUUUUCUUUAUUUGUAUGCAAAUAGUUUUGUACAGGAUGUACAAAAAAUGUUUUGUAGUGUUCGUAAAAGCUCAACUUCUCAUUUGAGAAUUAGUUGGAUUUCGCAUAUGGAUGCAAAAGCAUGAAUGUAGUCCAAUUAAUUCUUGAAUUGUCCCACAAUUUUGGACAGUUUGAGAUUGCACAGUUAGAUGUCGUAGUUUGCGGUUCACGAAUUAGAGUGAUCCUAGAAAAUUUGGUAGCAACUCUUUGCAUUCUUCGAGUGCAUCAUAGGUAUUUUGUAUCUACGUCAUGCACUUAAAGAACUGCAGGGAUAUACUACCAAAAGUUUCCCACUACUGAACUCUAAUGUGUUGGAGCCUUAAAUUACGACAUGAAACUGUGUAUUCUCGAAUGAGAGAGGGCCUUGUAAUAAUUGAAGUUGUUGUAACCCUUGUAAUUUUAUUAUGUUUGCAGGCGACAUGGACAAACAGGGAUAAAGAAUCCUAAAAGAUGUGCUGAUGAAUACAUAGAUGAAAUAAACCGGUUCAUUGAUUUUGCAAUUGCAAACAACUGUGGUUCAACUCAAAUUCAGUGUCUUUAUAAGAACUGUAACAACUCAAUGAUUGGAUAUUUUGAAACUGUUCAAUACCAUUUAGUAAGAAAUAUGAUGAUGGAGACCUAUACUACGUGGAAUCAUUAUGGAGAACAAAUACAACAUGCUUCAUCUUCACACAUGACCUGAUCAGUGGAGACAAUUGAAUCUAAUGUGGAUAAAAAAAAAACAAAUUAUGGACAUUAUAAAUGAUAUUUUUCCAAACGCCUUUACAAAUACCAAUCAGGAAGUGGAAGUUGGUGUCCUUCCCACCAAGGAUAGUGAAGCAUUUGAAAAAUAUGAAAAACUAUUAAAAAAUACCAGGCAAGAAUUAUACACCGGUUGCAAAGGGUUUUCGGUGCUCAAUGCUAUUGUUGAGUUGAUGCAUGGCAAAAUAAAGUUUCGUAUAUCAAACCAGUGCUUUAAUUACUUUUUGGGAGUUUUCAAGAGGAUGUUUCCAAAGGAUAAUUGCCUGCCUAAAGAUUAUAAAAGUGCAAAGAAAGUGUUGAAUGGUCUUGGAUUGCGCUAUGCAAAAAUUCACGCAUGCAAAAAUAAUUGUAUUUUGUUCUAUAAGGAGAAUAAAGCGUGGAUAAAUGCCUUAUAUAAAAUGGUCACGGUUUAAAAUGACAUCUCAUAAUAGAACGACGAAGAUUCCAUGAAAAAGUUAUGCGAUAUCUCCCAUUAAAGCCUAGGUUGCAGAGAUUGUAUAUUUCAACGCACACUACUAGUGACAUAAGAUGACAUAAGGACAGACAAGUGGAUGACGAUGUUAUGAGACAUCCUGCAGAUGGAGAGGCGUGGAAAGAGUUUGACUAGAUGUACCCUGAUUUGCGUGAGAACUGCGGAACAUCAGAUUGGGACUUGCUAAAGACAUGUUUAAUCCGUUCGGGUUUCUAAACCAAAACUUCGCUAAUCCUCGCAAUUUCGUAUAAUUUGCUGCUUUGAAAGUGCAUGAAGAAAUAAUAUAUGAUGAUGACUGAUGAGUCAAAUUUCAUAUUAUAUACUUUACCCUAUUCUUAGCAUGUUUUAGUAAUUAUUUUGGUAGAAUUUUGAUACUUUGCUUUAAGGCUCGUUUGGUUGUGCUUUUUAAAUGACUAAAGCGUUUUUAGUGAAAAUGUUUUUGGGUUCUAAAAGCACUUUAAGUGCUUUUUUUUUAGGAUUUAUUAGAAUUUUUACUAAGGAUUGUUUCCAAAAAUAUUUUCACUAAAAGCGCUUUAAGUCAUUUUUAAAAGCACAUCCAAAUGAGCUCUUAUAUUUAAUAUAGAACAUUCGACUUCCUCUAGAGAAAAAUAUGAUCAAACAGACGAACUUUGAAGUGAUUCAACUUGGAGGACGUUCAUGUAUCCCUUGGCGUGGAAAGUGACAUUUUUUGGCUUAAUUGCAAUUUUUGGAGCCUGAGAUGACCUCUGAUGGGUUCGUGGCCUUCUGGAGAAGUGUUAAAAAGAUGGUUGUGUAGAUUUUGGGCGAAUUUUACUAUUUAAUUUAGAAUUAUGUUUCCUAUUUUAUUUUAAUUUAUUUGGUUUCCUAGUCUUAUUGGAAGACCUUUUUUCUAAGAGAAUUGAAUGAUAGCAAUUUAAAUAAGCUUGGCCUGCCCUAUAUUGCUCUUAUUCUCUAUGGGAUAUCUGGGAGAGGAAAUUGGCCAAGCUUAGGGAUUUUCAGACUUUUACAUUCAAGGUGUUUUCAAUCUUUUAUUAUUUCAAUACAAUUCCUUUUGAUUGUAAUUAUGAAUAUGCAUAACUAAUCUCUUUUGAUAGUGUGAGGCCACAAGUCUUAGCAAAAAUAUGUAGUUUCUUUUGAAUUUGCUUAUGAUAAUAUGCAUGUAGGUUUUUGAAUUAUUAAUCACCGGUUUAAACUAUCUAAAUGUCUUGAUGAUUCGCAACUAUUAGGAUGUUUAGAAAAGUAAUUUGGUGCAAUUUUGGUCUGAGGUCGGUCCCUAAAAUUGACGAAGGCUUCCUAUCGUUAAUAUGUGCAAGUUCACUUAGGAUGAAUAUCACGUCUUAAAGGUUGCAUGGUUUUUCAAAGGGUUUUCACAAAACGUAAUGAGUUAUGCAAGUUUAGAUUUGAUCUGAAUACCACAAAUGGAUUGCAUGUUUGAUAUACGCUCUAUAUUGAUGGUCCAAGUAGGCAUAUAUAAGGAAAACCUAACCUUCAAAAUAUGCAUUUAUAGAUCAUAAGUAAUUGGAAGAAUUGUACAAGAUUGUUAAGGUAACAACGAAACCCUAGUGCUUUCUCAAUUUGAUUUAUAAAAACCGCCACUUUCUCCUUUUCUUGAAUAUUGCAUAUUUUUCUACUUUUUAAUUAAAUUCAUUUUUAUUUCAUUAGGUCACAAAAUCAAUCAUUCCAAAACUUUGCCAUUAAGUAAUUAAUUGAGAUUUCAUUUGAUAUGAACUAUUUAAUAAUCGUUGUGGAGAACGACCUUGUUAGAACCAUUUAUACUACAAUAUCUUUUUUGUGCGUGUGGUAAAAAUCCUAUCAAUGACUAUAUUGAUAACCGAAGAUUUGGGCAGGUCUAUUGAUGUUUAUUUACAAUCCUUGAAUGAACAACUAAAAGAUUUAUGGGAAAACGGUGCUCAUACGCACGUUAAGUCUACCAGAAAGAUGUUCACCUUGCGAGUAGCAGUGAUGUGGACUUUAAAUGAUUUUUCCGCCUAUGCUAUGAUGUUCGGGUGGAGUACUAGGUAGGCGCAAUUUGCAAGGAAGACAUAACGUCUGCUUGGUACUCGGAGAAAGUUUGUUACCUAAGGCAUCAUAGAUAGUUGUCGUGAGACCACGAGUGGCGUCAUAACGAUAAAGUCUUCUUUAACGGAAUAGAGAUUCACCUAGGACCAAGAGAAUGGUCCAGAUAGAGCCGGCUUUGGGGGAAUGCGACCGGUUCUAUGGCACAGGGCCCCCAAAAUAUUUUUUUAUUGAAUAUAAUAAUAUAUAUAAAAUAAUAUUAUAUACAAAUACUAAUCAAAUCAAAAUAUAUACAUAUAAAAAUCCAAUGGGCCAAGACUACUACCUAAAAGCCAUGUCAGACUACUACCUAAUUUUGGGGCCCCCAAAAAUAUAUAUUUUUAUUGAAUAUAAUAAUAUAUAUAAAAUAAUAUUAUAUAUAAAUAAUAUAUAUAAAUACUAAUCAAAUCAAAAUAUGUACAUAUAAAAAUCCAAUGGGCCAAGACUACUACCUAAAAGCCAUGUCAGACUACUACCUAAAGCUAAAAGCCAUCACCCAUCAGACUUAGACUACUAAGCCAUCACCCAUGACCCAUCAGACUUAGACUACUACCUACGGCUACAACCUAUACGAAAAUAUAUAAAAUAAUAAUUAAUAAAAGACAAACCGGCAAAGUUAAUCAAUUAAAGUGGAAAACCCAUUGACCGAGGCAAAAUUCAGAUACACUAUCUCACGCCAAAAUCCCAACGCUGCAUAAAUGCGUUCCACUUUUCUUCUUUUCACACCAGAGUACCAGAGCACCGAAGUCAAAAUCUCAGACGCUGUGCCUGCCAGUGUUCCGGACUCCCAGUGUAAUUCCCUUCUCUCUUUGUUCCACUGUUAUAUUUCCCACAAAUUAUUAAACCCUAAUUUAUAAAUUUAUGAAAUUAAAGAGAAACUUUCAAAUUAUCAGAGUGAUGUAGACUUCGAUCAAAGUAAGAUAUUUACUAAUUUAAGUAUAUUGACUCGAAAUUUGAAGAUUUGGGUAUUUCUCAUCUAUAAUGAUUUUAUUUUUAUUUUUGUACUUUUCAAGGAAAACUCAAGAGAAGAGCAAUCACAAAAAAUCAUUAGACGCACACGUAUUACAGAUUAUCAGGUUUCAUUGUUCAUACUUAUUAUAAUUUUUUUGUGAUCUUGUUUGAGAUAUAAAAGAUGGCGCCUACUAGAAAAUAUCCAUCUGGCUACUUGAAGCGUCAAAGAAAAAGAAAAGUUGAACAAUCCAUUCAGUCUCAAAAAGGAGCUAUUGAUAGGUUCUUUUUGAAAGAAAAAGAACCACAAAGUUCAGUGGAUGAUUUGAUUAUGAAGAUUUAAUUGAUGAUUUUGCAACAAAGAAUGCACGAAGAGCCAUCUUUAAGUGAAGCUUCAGUUCUAGACUUUUUAAAGUUUUGUUUAUUUCCAUAUUGCUUUUUAGCAUCAAUACAUUGUUCAAUUUUUUUAAGAUGUCUUAUAAGAGGCCCCUUUUAUGAAUUUCCAACAGGACCCCUGAAAUCUCAGAGACAGCCCUGAGUUUAGAGAUAAUAUUUUGGGUUAGGUGAAUCGUUUAGAUUUUGCUCCAUUCGGCAAAUUGGUGUAUAGGACCAAACUAGACACACAUCUGAACUAAAUACACAGGACAUUGUUGUUUGAGCUCCCAUACUAGUCAAAAUUAAAAUUGAGAAACAACUUCAAUAUUAUGCAUGUUGAGAAGAUGUGUUUGAUAUAUUGGUUGGAACUCUACUAGACAUCGAGGGAAAAACAAAGGACACGAAAGAGGCUUGCAUCUUUUUGGGUGAAAUCAGAGAAGAGGAAAGAGCUUUUGCAGUUUAUAUCCUUUGUACAAUUUCUUGAUGGGCAUGCUUUAAAUAUCGCGCCGUUGAGCAAACUUGUACGGAGGCAAAUUUUCCGGCCUCAAGAGUCGUGAUUGUCAUAUAAUACUCCAACGCCUUCUCUCAGUUGGUAUUUGCCUUAUCCCCGAAGAUGCGGUGAAGCCGAUUAUGUUGUUGGCAAGAUUUUUUUUAAUUAUCUGCAAGAUCUUUGUGCAAGUCCGAUGUUAAACAAUUGUGUGAUGACAUUAUCGAAGUCCUACACAAGUUUGAAAAAUAUUUCCUCUAACUUUCUUCACAAGCAUGAUCCAAGUGUUGAUUCACUACUAAAGGAGGCAAAGUUAGUUGGACCCAUCAACUAUUUAUGUAUGUGUCUGGUAUAAAAGGUAUUUAAUGGCCACAAAUUGAUUAAAUUGUGACGUAUAUACUAUUUGAUUAAUUUGAAUCAUAAUUGUUUUUUUUAAUUUUUGUAGACUACUCGGUGAAUUAAAAAAGAGUACAAAACAAGAUGAAGGUCGAAUGAUCAAUUGUGGAGGCAUGAGUCAAAUUUGAGUCACUUACAUUUCGUGCAAUGUACCAACAAGAUGUUGAGACAACAUUCAAUCGACUGCAACAGAAUAAUGACGGUGGUGUGAGAAGGGAACAAAUUUAUGUUUUCACCCAAAUUGCACGACCCUUUGGCAAACCAAUCAGAGAUGAGUCAUUUAACCAAAGGGGUGUGGAGGUAGCACAUUGGUUUGUACUUAAAAAUUAUGAUGAGACAAUGACUUACUUGGAUGAGCAUGAAGAGUUGAUGAAGUGGGAACAUCCUUCACAUUUAUAUGCCUAGAACCACCAUGAAUGGUUUCCUCGUUGGUUUUGCGACAAUGUAAGUUGUUUGUGUUUAGGUGAAUAAAUUGAAUUUGCUCGCUUAUACUGAAGAAUUAUACAACUUGGCUAUCAGGCCCUUAAACGCAGAAUUGUACUCUGGUUGUCAUGUAGACAACAUCAAGUUUUUGGGGGCUAAUUGAAAUGAUAAGUUGUGUACUCAAAAUAGUGAGGUUCUUUUUUUGGGUGCAAACGAUAUUGUAGACAUUGAUUUGUAUGGAAAACUAACAAGUGUUGUGUAAUUGCUUCACAAAGACGACUAGCAAGUUAUCCUAUUUAAGCAUCACUGGUUUGAUACAAACCCACGUAGGAGUGGGGUGUUAAGUGAGACGAUGUUUAAGUAUUAGUGAACACUAACAAAUGUUGGUACAAAAUGACGACCCCUACGUUUUGGCAACAAUGGCCAAACAAAUUUUCUAUAUAGAUGACCCAAAGGGCGGGAGAUAUGGAAAGUUGUUUAGAAGAUUAAGCAUAGAAGGGUGUAUGAUAUUCUGGCUCGAGAUACGAUGACGAUGAGGGAGGCUUGAAACUUCAAUAGAAAUUGGUGCAGAAACACUAUGGCAUAUGACUAUUGUACAAGAACCGUAUCAGGUAGCUGGAGGUCCUAAAGUUGAAAUUUCGAUCAACCCAGUUACAAUUGACCUUAGGGAUCUGUUGCGAUACAAUGCACUAAAGCGUGCAAACGACAAUGUUGGUGUGCCUAUAGAUGAGAAGGAAUGAUAUUCUCAUCUGAAUCAGAUGAAAGUGACUAUUGAUAUUUUUUCUAGUUCAGAUAAGGAUUAAUGAAAACUUGUGAUAUAUUAUAUUUAUUGAAUAGUAUUUAUUUUGUAUACAAACAAAAUUUUAUUUAUUAAAUUUGUAUAAACUAAAGGAAAAAUAAAACAUUAUUUAAAAAAUCGCACGACGACGAACCAUAAUUCAUUGCGCAAAAGUGCAACGCCCAACAAUGUUUUAUACACAUUCGUUGCGCAAAUAUAUAAUAAUUCAAUUUUUUGGUGAAAAUUGGACUCACAUCAACGUUUUGUACACCUUCGUUGUGCUGACAUUUGAAAAUUUGAUUUUUUGGCAAAAAUUGGGCAUGUUUUAAUUGGCUCAUGUUUCAAUUAGGAUUAAAUUUUAAGGGAUGAUGCGCGAUGAAAUCUUCGUCGCGCAAGGUCUCCCUCUUUCAUUCCUAUAGACAACUUUUCUUUUUCAAAACACUCUCAUCUCUAUCUCGAUUCUCUAUGCGAAGCUUUCACUAUCUUAGUCAUUACCUCUCGAAGCUCUCACUCUCUUAGUCACUCACACUCUCCUUCUCUCGCUAUAUAUAUAUCUCUCUCUGCCUCUGUCUCUCUAUCACUUUCUCCAUCGCACUCAUCUCUCCGCCGCCGUCACCAUUGGGAAUCCAGGGAGGGUUGCAAAUUAGGAAUCCAAGGUUAGGAUUUUGAAUUGGGAAUCCAAGUUUAUAGUUUCUUUACAUGUUAGUUUACAGAGACUAGUAAAAUUAAUCCCAAAAUCCAGGGUUAUGUCUGAAACUGGAGGUCUGUGUGAAAUUGUAGGUUAAUUGUUAUAGAAUUUUAGUCAUGAGUUUAGGAAUGCUCCGUGUGCGACUGGAGGUUCAAUGUUUUGUUUUCCAACAAUUUAUAGGUUAAUGUUCCUAUUUGCAGUUUAUAGGUUUUUCAUUAUAUUAAUUAAUCAUUUGUUACCAAUUUUAAUUUUAUUGUUUAUGUCCAAUAUGUGAUACAUCUUGCAUGAAAAAUCUAGGUUUAACUUUUAUCCAAAUUAGUCUUGUUUGUACCAUACUUGACCAAUCUUGAAACUAUUGAGCACCGGUCAACGUUACCGUCAAGGACUCAGAAGAGUUUCCCUCCAACUAGGAGGCCAAUCACAGCGCGACACGUGUCGACAUUAGAAGCCAAUCAUAGUGUGACACGUGUCAACAUCAAAAGCCAAUCACAACACGACACGUGUCAAUGUCAGAAUGAAACUAGAAACUCUCUUCUAUAAAUAGAGAUCAUUCUCUCACAAUAUUUCCUAAUGUCAUUUGUACUAAAUCAUUCACCAGUACUCACAAAAGGAGAGCUUGAACCUAUGUACUUGUGUAAACCCUUCACAAUUAAUGAGAACUCCUCUACUCCGUGGACGUAGCCAAUCUAGGUGAACCACGUACAUUGUGUUUGCUUCCCUGUCUCUAUCCAUUUACAUACUUAUCGACACUAGUGACCGGAGCAAUAUAGCGAAGGUCAUAAACUUAACACUUUCUGUUGUACCAAAGUCCUCACUGAUUUUUUGCAUCAACAUUUGGCGCCAUCUGUGGGAACGACACUUAUUCCCAUUCUCUUCAGCGUUGCCAAGCUGGUUUCCACCAUUCGUACACUCUCUUUUGACCAAGCAUCCCUCUCCAACAUGGGAAGCGAAGGAAGCCACAGCACACAGAAUGACACCCUUCAUGCACCUAGUGCGAAGCAACGAAAGAAGGAAGGAAAAAGGGUUGCUUUUUAAGCUAAAGUCGAUGAGCUAGAAGCUCAGAACAACAAGAUAGCAAUGAAGAAUGAGGUCAUCCAGGAGUAGUAUGAGAAGCUCUUUAGGACGCUUCACGAAACUAGGCGUACUCAAACACGUGAGCUCGUUGCCCCUGUGGACAUCAACCAUCAUCUGGGUGCCCCCCAACACGGAGGGUCACCUCCCUUCGACAUGGGUAUCCCUGAUGAGGAGCGAGCAAAUCAUCAAAACAUUGAUUAACAUGAGACUUCUCUCAACCCAGAUGCUUCGACCCGAAGUAGAAGAAGUGGAGGAAGACACCUCAUUGCAGAAGGGUUGGAAGGAUAAAAAAUCGUUUAUCGUGACUGCUGAGACUUCCUAAAGCAACGUCGAGAGAAUCCCCUCCACAUAUGCUCGAAGAUCAAUGACCCAAGGGUUUCUGAAAGACUCGGUCCCCUGCCACGACCCAGGCCAGCUGUCAAUCUAGGGAAUGAACGACAGGUCCCAUAGGAACAUGAAGGUACAGGGGACUUUGAGGUAUUAUGACAGACUCGCCCUAGAAGUCAGUACGACGAGUCCAAGAAAAAACCACACGCCCUUGCUCAAACUUUCCUACUUCCAAGAGGCAAUGGAGACUUACAAAAGAAAAUUCGAAUGGUACAUGACUCCAUUCAGGACCCCCUUGUCCUACAGCUCUUUGAGGAAGUAAAUAAGUUAAAGGCCGAACGUUAGGCUGAGAUACCUGACUGGAACCAACCCAAGCCUGGCCCUCUCACAAGAAGGAUCCUCGACACCCCCUUCAAGCGACGACAAAACAAAAUCUUGGUUUACAACUCUAUACUGGAAGGGAGGACCCAAUUGAACACCUUAACCUCUUUGAGUCCACCAUGGCAUAUCGGAUGCACACCGACGAAGAGCGAUGUCUUCUUUUCCCCUCCACCCUCUCUGGCGGAGCUCUAAACUGGUAUUUCCAUCUUCCACCUGAGACAGUAGACUCAUUUGAGGAAUUGAGGAAACUGUUUGUCUCUCAACAUAUCUUCCAGACCGAUCACUUGCAUUCUACAGAUGACUUGUACAUUAUUCGCUAGAAGCCGGACGAGUCACUACGAGAGUAUGCCGAUCGCUUCAGCCAUGAGUAUUCUCGCUGCGCUGAGGUAGAUGACAAGACCGCUCUCAAGGACUUCACGGCAGGCCUACGUGAUUGUUUCUUCAAGUCCAUGAUCAAUGCCAACACUUGGAAGACUUACUCUGAGGUGAUGGCACAUGCUUACAACCACGCCUCCGCCGAACCAAGGAUAUACCAAGGGAACCCCCAUAUGGUUAACCCCUAUCAACAAAUGGGAAAUGGAAGUCAAGUUCUACCAAGUGAGGAGAUAUUAGCCAUUCAGACACCCAUUGCAUCAUCUCCUGCCUCAUUUAGCUAUUCGCUAAGUCACCAAACGUAUCUGUCUCUUGGUAAGAGGAAGAAUUUUUACUCUCAGCAAGCCCAUUACAACAAGAGGGAUAAAAGUUCGUAUCAAGACAACCAGGGGUGAAUGUACCGUCGACUAUUAUGACUAUGGGGCCAAGCCUCACUCUUUCAAAGUGGAGGACUAGGUAGUGAAGGAAAUGCUAUUAUAAGAAGGCAUACAUAUUACAAAUGUUUCGACUCUCAACCGCUUGAGAUCUUUUGUCACACAAUCCAUUCGGUAAAUAUUUAAAGAAAAGGGAAUUCAGACAACUUCUUCUGAGUCUUUUGUGUUCCUAGCACUGGAACACUUGGUCUACACUGACCUACCCUUAUACUCCAACUCAGAGCUUCAACAUGCGUACUUUGACAUAAAGUAUGUGAUACUGAGUGUUACAACCAACAUGGUUCACAUAUCAAAAGCAUGGAUCCCUUCAUGCAUAGCAAAACAUUCAUAAGCAUCACUCAUAUCAAUCAACAUAAACAUUAUACAUUCCAACACAAUCAUACACAAACAUCAUACAUUCCAACACAUUCAUACAUAAACAUCAUACAUUCCAACACAUCCAUACAUAAGCCAAUUGUGCUUCGAAAGGGUUCAACAUACUUUGUGUCUUCGACACUUGCUACAAUGUGCCUCGACACCUUGCCCUUAUUCUCACCAACCAAGUGAUGAAAUGUGAAGAAAGAACUCAUCUUCAUGCCACCAACCAGGUGAUGAAAUGUACAACCCAACUAGGUGAUGAAAUGUACAACCCGUACUCUAAUAUCAUUUGGCAACUUGCCACUUAUGCCACUAACCAGGUGAAGAAUGAACUCAUCUUCAUGCCACCAACCAGGUGAUGAAAUGUACAACCCGUACUCUAAUAUCAUUUGGAAACUUGCACUCAUGCCACCAACCAAGUGAAGAAGGAACUUAUCUUCGUGCCGCCAACCAGGUGAUGAAAUGUACAACCCCUACUCUCCUUCAUGCUAACAACCAGGUGAUGAAAUGUACAACUCGUACUCUAAUAUCAUUUGGCAACUUGCCACUCAUGCCACCAACCAGGUGAAGAAGGAACUCAUAUUCAUGCCGCCAACCAGGUGAUGAAAUGUACAACCCGUACUCUCCUUCAUGCCACCAACUAGGUGAUGAAAUGUAUAACCCGUACUCUAAUAUCAUUUGGCAACUUGCCAUUCAUGCCACAAACCAGGUGAUGAAAUGUACAACCCGUACUCUCCUUCAUGCCACCAACCAGGUGAAGAAGUAACUCAUUUUCAUGCCACCAACCAGAUGAUGAAAUGUACAACCCAUACUUUCCUUCAUGCCACCAACCAGGUGAUGAAAUGUACAACCCGUACUCUAAUAUCAUUUGGAAACUUGCCAUUCAUGCCACCAACCAGGGGAAGAAGGAACUCAUCCUCGUGCCACCAACCAGGUGAUGAAAUGUGAUGAAGGAACUCACCUUCGUACCACCAACCAAGUGAUGAAAGCAACUCACCAUUCAUUCCACCUACCAGAAGACAAGUGGUACAACUUGUACAUGUGAACUCCUAGCAUUCACAAAUAAUCAAAAACCCUCAAGCUUGACAACUCAACUAAGGGAGCACUUAUGCCCAACAAGAGUUAUAGUCACCAACAAAGUCUUAUUGCAAGCUAACAACAACUUCAAUGCAUGGCAUACGAAGAUCAAGCUUUUCAGCCCUCUUGCAUCUACUUCAAACAUUUCCCCUCUGUAACAAUGCAAACACUACAACUUGUAGAAAGCUUCACACAUUCUUGAUCAAGACAGUGUGAAACAAAACCAAUUUAUGGUGUCAACAAGAGCUUCAUCAAAGGAGUUCAACCACAAUUCUCAAAAGCUUCACACACUUUUGAUCAAGACAGUGUGAAGCAAAACCAAUUUAUGGUGCCAACAAGAGCUUCAUAAAUGGAGGGCAAACACAAUUCUCAAAAGCUUCACACACUUUUGAUCAAGAUAGUGUGAAGCAAAACCAAUUUAUGGUGCCAACAAGAGCUUCAUCAAAUAAGUUCAACCACAAUUCUCAAAAGCUUCACACACUCUUGAUCAAGAUAGUAUGAAGCAAAACCAAUUUAUGGUGCCAACAAGAGCUUCAUCAAUGGAGGGCAAUCACAAUUCUCAGAAGCUUUACACACUCUUGAUCAAGACAGUGUGAAGCAAAACCAAUUUAUGGUGCCAACAAGAGCUUCAUCAAAGGAGGGCAACCACAAUUCUCAAAAGCUUCACACACUCUUGAUCAAGACAGUGUGAAACAAAACCAAUUUAUGGUGCCAACAAAAGCUUCAUCAAAGGAGUUCAACCACAAUUCUCAAAAGCUUCACACACUCUUGAUCAAGACAGUGUGAAGCAAAACCAAUUGAUGGUGCCAACAAGAGCUUCAUCAAUGAAGGGCAAGCACAAUUCUCAAAAGCUUCACACACUCUUGAUCACGACAGUGUGAAGCAAAACCAAUUGAUGGUGCCAACAAGAGCUUCAUCAAAGGAUUCAACCACAAUUCUCAAAAGCUUCACACACUCUUGAUCAAGAUAGUGUGAAGCAAAACCAAUUUAUGGUGCCAACAAGAGCUUCAUCAAUGGAGGGCAACCACAAUUCUCAAAACUUUCACACACUCUUGAUCAAACCAGUGUGAAGCAAAACCAAUUUAUGGUGCGAACAAAAGUUUCAUCAAAUGAGUUCAACCACAAUUCUCAAAAGCUUCACACACUCUUGAUCAAGACAGUGUGAAGCAAAACCAAUUUAUGGUGCCAACAAAAGCUUCAUCAAUGGAGGGCAACUACAAUUCUUAAACAUUCGAAGCAAAUUCAAGACUGUUCGAAGUAAAUUCAAUUUAUAUGGUUCAUCCAAACCUUCGACUACUACAAGGUGUGGCUUGUAUCACAAUCUCUUGCUCAACAGUAUGGAAGCAAAAUUUGUAUAUGUUGUGUCUCCCACAUUUUCAAAUAUCUAGUUUCCCCCCUCCCAAAAAAAAAAAAAAGGGGAAAUUCAACAAAGCUUCCUUCAUCAAUGGAGGACAACUACAAAUUCUCAAAAGCUUCACACUAUCUUGAUCAUGAUAGUAUGAAGCAAAAUCAAUUCGCGGUACCCAACAAAGCUUCACCACAAAAGCUUCACCAACAAAAGCUUCACCAACAAAAGCUUCAUCAAUGGAGGACAACUUCAAAUUCUCAAAAGCAUCACACUAUCUUGAUCAAGAUAGUGUGAAGCAAAAUCAAUUCAUGGUACCCAACAAAAGCUUCACCCAUAAAAGCUUCACCAACAAAAGCUUCAACUCCAAAGCUUCACCAACAAAAGCUUCAUCAAUGGAGGACAACUACAAAUUUUCAAUAGCUUCCCACUAUCUUGAUCAAGAUAGUGUGAAGCAAAAUCAAUUCAUCGUACCCAACAAAGCUUCAACCUCAAAGCUUCACCUAUAAAACUUCAACACCAAAGCUUCACCUACAAAGCUUUAAAAAAUAUAUAUUUUUUUCUUUCGAAAAUUCGAAAAUUCUAAAAUUCGAAAAAUAAAAAUUUCGAAAAAAAAAAAUUGCCUAGGCCUCUUCUUUCUUGGGCCUAACAACUUUCAUAACAAAUAUAUAUGAAGAAGGAGUUUUGGGCUACCACUUAGAAAGAAAGUGCCUCAUUCGUCAACUCCCUCGACCGGAGACUUGGGGGACUCCUACUAUAUGCUACUGCACCUUGAUACUCGGAAGUCUCACGACCACUCAGUGACUUCGAUUUUUCAAGUCUCCAAACGAGAAGUUUUCCUCACUGGGGAAAUUAAGGGAGCACACCUUAACCUACAUGCUUCACUCACAAAACUUCAACAUACAAGAUUCAACAAAAGGAAAAAUUCAAAGAACUUAGUGAAAAAUGCCUUGGUGUAUUUAACACAAUACGUUGAAAUGAAGUAAAGCUUGUUUAUUGAUAUCUCCGAUAAGUUACAAAUAUGUACAUAUACAUGAAUCAAAAUAAACAAACAAGAUGGAGCCUUCACAAAGGUUGCUCAGGAGAAGUCUUAACAGUCGGCAGAGCCCCAGAAAGAGGAGGCACCAGAGGGUGAUUAUUCGGAGCCUCAGUACUAGGCAGAACCCCAGAAGGAGAAGGCACCGAAGUUUGAUCAUUUGGAGCUUCAUUAUGAAGGAUUUGUGAAAACAUGUUCAUUUGAAUAACAUCUAUAGCAUGCAUUUAACAAUUAAAAGGCGGAAUCAUGCUUGCAUGCAUUCAAAAACAAAACAUUACCCAUGAAAUUCAAAGCCUAGUAGAUUGGUGAACCAAGACUCAACACAAAUCAAAGUGAGUUUAGAAAUUUAUACCUUUGUAGAUUCCUCUUUUCAUAAGCAAAGGCUAAUCACCCAAAGAGAGGGCCUUCAUUCUUUGCUUCUUAGAUCCAUGGAUUUGGAUGGAAGAAUAUGGUUCUCCAAGUUCCCAAAAUUGAGAACCUCUAAGUGUCUACACCAAGGUUAGAUUGGAGAAGAAAUGAGUGACCUUGGAGGAGUGGGAUUGCUAGCUAAUCCCUCCAAGGAGGCCGGCCUCUUUAGAGAGAAAGGAGAGCUUUGUGUUCUCUCCAAUUUCCUAAAAGAAACCCUUUUUGAAUUUUAGGCUAUAAAGUUCUUUAUAUAGUCACUUCUUUAAAUGACCUAAAGAACCAAAAACCCUAAUUCAACACACAUGGCCGGCCACAUAAGGGAUUUGGGCUUUUGGGCCCUUGUGAAUCUUUAUUCAUUAAGUUGUCAUACAACUUAAGUCCAUGGGCUUUGACGUUCGAAGCCCAUUGGGCCUUAAGGUCCAAAACUAUCCCGAGGUCUUUAACGAACUUAUUCGUUUGAUUAAUUAACAUAUUAAUUAAUCCUUGCCAUAAAUAAUUAAACCAUUUAAUUAUUCUUACUCAUCUCCGUUGUUUCUUCAAUCUCUACCUUACACGGUGUACGAUCCAUUAGGUUCCUUUUAGCGAGGCAGUUGGCGAUUAAAACUCUUUCAAAUCGAUUGUGAAUUGAAACUUACUUUCAAUUCUCCCUUUAGUGUUUAUACACGUUUAGGGCUUCCACAAACCAAGAGUGACACCUAGCAGCAUAUCAUGGUUACUCAAGCUAAUCAGAAGAGGUAGAGAACCUAUUCAGUUUAGGAUUGCAAAUGCAAUACGGUCUUUCUCUAAUACAAUACUCUUGACCACAUUGUUUGGUUUGAUAGUUUAUUCAUGUCUACUAUCCAAUGUGAUUCGUGUGCUUAUAUGAGUACCUUGAAUGUGAUUUGGAACGACUUCCUAAAUCUCAUUCAUACUCUGGCCAAAGAUUCUUAAUCAUAUCAUAGAAUAUUCUCCCUCAAACAGUUUGAAGGUUAGAGAUCCCUUGUUGCGCAUUCACUUGCCUCCAUGGCUAAGUGGCUUAACCCCAACUAUGCCGUGGACACCCAUUUUGGAGUGACUUUUGACAUAAUCAAAACAUCAAGGACUUAAGCACAAGAUAACUAUGAUGCCUCAGGUCAAAGGACGACUUUGCAUUAUCCCAACCAUGAGUUCUCAUGUGACAUGAAUAUGAGAACUCUUCGUUGAUCGUGUUUAGUAAACUCAUUCUCUAUUGAGCACCUACGUACUUGUCUUGAUGUCACACACACCAAUGACUCGAGACUAGUCACUCUCCCUGAGAGAAGACACAGCACGUACUGAUCUUAACGGACUGUCAAUGCCCAAUUGACAAUCCUAUGAUCAGGAACGUUUAGGAUAUGUAUACGAAAGAAUGGUCUCAUGAAUCUAACUUCUUUAGAUUGCAUUCUCCCAAUCACAUAUUCCUUGGACUUAUCGUUUAAGCAUAUAACAUUUAUAUGAGACGGCUUAAAGCAAUAAUCUUUGCCCUUUAUAUUUAAACUAGAUUAGUUAACAUGUGAAAUGUCCGUAAAGUAUCAUCAUAUGAUUGGUUUUAGGGCACAUUUCCAACACAUUACGCGGUACAGCCCCAGAAGACGAAGGCAAUAAAUGCCUUUGGAACAAACCCACAAACCUCUGAUGAUCAAGUAAAAUCUGACCAUCAGAUUCCUGCAGCUGGUGGAGCUUCCUCUUCAUGUUUGUAGCAUAGUCAUGUGCGAGCCUAUGCAACUGUUUAUUCUCAUGCUUGAGCCCUCUGAUCUCCUGUUUGAGACUUAUCACUUCAGCCGCCAAUGAUUCAACUUGGCGGGUUCGAGCAAAUAGGCGUUGGGCCAUAUUAGACACAAAACCUGCACACUGAACACUGAGAGCCAAAGAACCCUUAACAGCCAACUCAUCAGACCGUUUGGAAAGUAGCCUGUUAUCUGUGGGAGUGAGAAGGUUCCUGGCUACCACCGCAGCGGUCAUAUCAUUCUUCAUCACAUAAUCCCCAACGGUAAGAGGACUAGUAGGGGAUAAGAAGGAUGGGCGCCAUAUGUUGUCUUCAGAAGGCAUGGUUGCUUUUUCACCAAAGUUCAAGUCAAAACGAGGGUCGGAUGAGCUAGACAUUCUCAGAAAUGAUGAAGGAGAAAUGAGGUGCAAUAAAUCUCUGAAUUAAAGGGAAAAUUCCUACAAGCAAUAACUCUCUGAAUGUACUUCUUGCACAUAAUUGGUGCCCUUAUAAAAGAAAGGGCAACAGGGCCGUUGGUUCAAAAAUUGAAGAGGUACCACCCUUCGGAUUCUGAAGAGGCACCACUUUCCACACGCAACAUCAGCUCAUCGGGUACCAUAGAUAACUUUGCCAAAGAUUUUUGACAAAGUUUAGACAUAUAAAUUUUGAAGGUCCAGCUACCUUACUAUUACCCACAAGGGUAAAGGAACAACACCACUGCUUGAUAACUAGAAAGUCCCAAUGUGUGUCAACCUCCGUGCUCUGUGGCAAGGCAAACUGGCAAAAAUGCCCAACCUUUACUCACAUUCGAGAAAACACUCCCAACAAGAUUGCUUGCUUAAAAAUUGAAAAGGCACCGCCCUCCGAAUCUCGAGAGCCAGACUCCCAACAGGAUUACUUUCUCAAAAAUCGAAGAGACACUGCUAUCCGAAUCUCAAGAGUCAGACUCCCAACAGGAUUGCUUUUUCAAAAAUCGAAGAGGCACCACUCCCCGAAUCUCGAGAGCCAGACUCCUAACAUGAUUACGUGCUCAAAAAUCGAAGAGGCACCGCACUCCGAAUCUCGGAAGCCAGACUCCCAACAGGAUUACAUUCUCAAAAUCGAAGAGACACUGCUCUUCGAAUCUCAAGAGUCAGACUCCCAACAGGAUUGCUUUCUCAAAAAUUGAAGAGGCAUCGUUCUCUGAAUCUCGAGAGCCAGAUCCCCGACAGGAAUACUUGUUCGAAAACCGAAGAGGCACCGCUCUUCGAACUUUGAAAGCCAGAUUUCUUGGAUAAAGCUUGUUUGCAAUCUUCACACGCAACAUCAGCUUUCCAGAUACCACAUACCACUUUUUCAAAGUGUUCUGACAAAGUUAAAACACGUGAAGCUUGCAGCUCCCACUACAUUGCUAUGACCAAGAAGGGUAUUGCUAUGACCAAGAAGGGUAUUGCUAUGACCAAGAAGGGUAAAGGAAUAGCACUACCACUUGUUGUUAGGAAGACUCCUAUAUAUGUCGACUUCCAUCCUCCACAGCCAGGCAGACCUGCAAAUAAAAAAAAAUGCUCAACUGUUCUUCACAUCCGAGAGGGCACUCUUAGCAGAGUCUCUCGAAAUACUUAGCUUCUUUUCCUCCCGAUAAUACCUCUCUGCAAACAAGCCACACCAGAGCAAAAAUAUCUCAUAUCAUCAGGGUUAAAAGCAAGAGUAUCUCAUAUCAUGCUUUUUCCCUGUCUUUUCCUUUGGCCUUGUUCUUACCUGCAAGACAAGGAGAAAGAGAGCAAUCAGUCAGCACUUGGAAUCAAGCUUCCAGUCAGGAAUUGACUGCCUGGAACCCCUUGCCUGAUUACUUACCUGACAUUGCUCUCGAGUACUCAUCUUCAACAUCUUAUGCUUCUAAAGAAGAUACCACAUCUGCCUGAGGAACAGAUAAGGCAAGUGAGAAGGAUACAAGGAAGCAUGUGGAGACAAACGUAACAGAACACGUGCCGAUACAUCCACUACUUUGUCAACAGCAAAAGUAUCCCAUAUCAUCAUGGUCGAACGUACACUAGAUUUGAUGGACUUGUUUUAACCCUCAAAUUCUUGAGUCGGCCUUAUACUCUGGAGAAAACCAGAACCUCCAGCCCAGUUCAAGAAUAAGCCUGUGGAAAGUUACUUCUUCAAAAGCAAAAGUAUCUCAUAUCAUCUCUUCGCCAUUUGCUUCUCUUUAUCCUUGUUGCUGUUUACGACACAAGGAGAAUGAGAACAAUCAACCGGAAGCCGAAGUCGAACCUCCGAUCCAGGUUGCUUGCUUACCUUGUUUGUUACCUCAUUCGACAAAUCUCCUAGCUCGGCGACUUGGGGGACUCCACCUAUAGGGUUUGUAUCGCACUUGACCAAGCCUGAAACUACAAGUAAGCUUCAAGUGAAAUUGAUAUAUUACCUUGUGCAUCUUCAUCGGUUAAGGAUACCACCUCUAGAUGGAGGAAAAGUACUUCCAGAGAGGAUGCCACAUCUACAUAUGAGACAGAUAAGGCAAGUGAAAAUGAUACCACACUUUAGUACUUAGAAGUUUCAUGAUUACUCAAUAGCUUGGAUCUUGCAAGUCCCCAACCGAGGAGCUUCCCUAACUCAGGAACUUAGCGGAGCACUAUUUGUACCAUACCUGACCAAUCCUGAAACAACUGAGCACCGGUCAACGUUAUACCGUCAAGGACCCAAAAGAGUUUCCUUCCAACUAGAUGGCCAAUCAUAGUGCAACACGUGUCGACAUCAGAAGCCAAUCAUAGUGCGACACGUGUCAAUAUCAGAAGCCAAUCACAACACGACACGUGUCAAUGUCAGAAUGAAACUAGAAACUCUCUUCUAUAAAUAGAGAUCAUUCUCUCACAAUAUUUCCUAAUGUCAUUUGUACUAAAUCAUUCACUAGUACUCACAAAAGGAGAGUUUGAACCUAUGUACUUGUGUAAACCCUUCACACUUAAUGAGAACUCCUUGACCCUGUGGACGUAGCCAAUCUGGGUGAACCAUGUACAUCUUGUGUUUGCUUCCCUGUCUCUAUCCAUUUACAUACUUAUCCACACUAGUGACCGGAGCAAUCUAGCGAAGGUCAUAAACUUAACACUUUCUGUUGUACCAAAGUCCUCACUGAUUUUGUGCAUCAACAAGUCUCAACCUGUAUAGUGCACAUGAUUGUCAAACUUAAGUUUUUGUAAUUUAGCUUUUAUUGUUUUUGUAGAUGUCAAACUUAAUUUCAAACCGUUGAGCAGAUAGUAGGGUCACUCAGACACCUUCCCCACAAUUAGUGGUGCUGCCACCGCUCCACCAGAUUUGGACACAAUGGGUGUAUCUCGGAUCCCGCCUUUCGGUCCAGCAAUGUCUGAGGCUUAUGCAUCAUCAGCUUCUUCGGUGACAAAUCCUCUACUAAGCACCAAGCGAACUCAUCGACAGUCCGGGAGUUCUAAGGAAGCUGAGUAGUCUGUUGAGGCUUCUUCUGUCGAUAAAUGGGGGAUCCUAGACAGGUAAUACAUCUUUCUCCUAGUUUUUUUAAUUUAAAAUUUUGGAAUUGAGAUUAUAAUUGUUUUGAAGUUCCUAAUUGGUAUUAAGUGUUUGAAUUGCUGGUUGGAUGUGUUGUUUCUGUCGUUAUAUUGUUUGUAGGUUUUCGGAAAUGUUAUAGUUUUAAGGGAGGUGAAGGCCGAAUUUUUGGUAGAAAAUUAAGUUCGUCUGACAUUUACUUUGUGUAUUUUGUAGUUAAAACAAACACCAGAGGCCAUGCAGACUUUUGAAGACCGCAAAGACCACUCACACCAGGACGGAGAAGAUCACAAUUAUGUGGGAUCCUCGAUAUUGUGUGGCUGCAACAAAGGAGCAUCACAGUGCAUUGGCUAACAACAUUGGUUGCAUUAUCAAGAGUCAUUGCCCGCUCAUGUGGGAGUUCUGGAGAGUCGUCUCGACUGACGUCAAGACCGCCGCUCUUCAUGAAAUAUUGGUAAGUAUUGCCAACCUCAAAUACUAAUUUCUUAUUAAAGUAUACAAAUAUUAUAAAUUUUUAACUACUUUAUAAUUUUUAAGUUUUGCAGCAUCUCUAUGAUCUCACGAACCUCGAUGCCAAUAAAAAAAGGUACAUCCAUGAGAUUUGCAUUGGCCGGUUCACUCAGUGGUAUGAUAGUACGAUGGUCCGGAGGUUGCUCUAGCAGUUGGGUGCCUUAAGGGGAUAGAGAACCGCCGGGAUGAAUGGGAGUGGCUUUACGGCCAUUUUCAAGACAAAAAAUACCUCGUAAGUAAUAUUUUAUAUUUUUAUAAUCUUUCAAUAAUAUUUAAUUUUUUUCAUUAAUUUGUCAUAAAUAUCAAAACUAAUAUUUUUUUUUUAAAUAACAGAAAAAAGUGAAGACAAAUUCGAUCAAUCGGUCGAAGAAAAAAAAAUUUCACUGCUUUAGCUCGCAACGCUUCUUUUAUAGGUUGAAUGAGCGACGUUAGGUAACCGUAUAGUUAUUUUUAUUUUUAAAUUUUUUUACUCUCCACUACACAAUUGAUAACCUAUGUGUUAAUAUUUUUGUUAUUCAAAGGGGGUCGAAGUUUCCUGAGAUUGACAUGUUUAAUGAGGUAUAGGUUUGGCCCAACAAUAUGCUGGCGAAGCAGCUCCAUGUAAGUUAUUUCAAAUCUUUAAUAUUUAAUUAGUAUUAUUAUUAUUAGGGAAAUUUUAUUUAAACCCAUUUAACCUCUUUUUACACCCAACUUAAAUUUUAAAUGUUAAUUGUCUAUUUUACCAUAUUGCAUAAUUACUAUUGAGUACAAAAUGAAAUUAAUAAUAAAACUCAAAUUUAUCAAUAAACCCAAACACAAUAAAUAAACCCUACGAUCACUCUUUGUUUGUCCUACGUUCAUUAUGACUAAAACCCUAAUAACUCUUAUAGAGAAAAAUAAGUUUUUUUUAUUGAUGGAUUGUGAUUUUGAAGUUUUGAAUCCUCCAACCAAGGUAUAACUUAAUUUAUGAUUUUUUUUUUCUCUCCGAUCGCAUUAUUAACCACCUCUCUAAUUCGAGUUUUCCUUUCUCACGGUACUGAUAAGAGCGAAUUAAUCCGCUCAUAUAUCACCCAAGUCUACGGUAUAUAAUAUAGCAGCACUCCUUAAAUUAUUAAAAAUUUAAUCAGAACAAGGCUGCAAUUGCAAUAUGAUAUGAUGGAUUACCAAAGUCAAUGGAUGAGCCAACUGCUGCCUUAUCAAAUCACUUUCAUAUUUUCAAUCUCCUUGCAAUCCAGAAAGUUGUUUGCAACCUAACCAGAAAUAUUGCACACAGAAUUCUAAAAUGUUCAUAGUUUCAUGUAAAGCAGAUAUUUUGUGCAUGUAAUAUGCCUGCCAGAAAAGGAAGGAUACAAAAAUGGCAGAAUCAGUUGUAUGCUUUGUGAUCGAUAAGUUAAAUUCAUUGCUUAUCACCACAUAAUCACAUGAAUGAUGGAUCCAUUAAGCACCCAUCUUUAGGAUCAAGCCUAUUUAUAUAUUAACUUAUGAAGCAAUUGUUGAAGAAAUAGGUGUAAAAAUAAAUCCACAUAUUGAAUUGGGUUUAUGGGGGUAUAUAAGGUAUUAAAUUUGGGUUUAAAUUGAUAUUAAUAGUUUAGUUAAAAAUCAAAUGGGUGCAAAGAGUAAGUUGGGUGUAGAAAUAGGUUAGAUGAGUUUAAAUAAAAUUUCCCUUAUUAUUAUUGUUGUUGUUGUUGUUGUUGUUGUUGUUGUUGUUGUUGUUACUUUUAUAUUAAAAUUAAUUUGUUUGUUUUCAUUGUCACAUCCCGGCCCGGGCCCCCACCACAUCCCGGCCUUAACUCCACUGUAGCACGAUAUUUUUCGCUUUGGGCCCCGACCACGUCCUUACGAUUUUGUCUCUGGGAACUCACAUGAGAACUUCCCAGUGGAUCACCCAUCAUGGGAUUACUCUCACGCGAACUCGCUUAACUUCAGAGUUCCCAUGGAACCCGAAGCCAGUGAGCUCCCAAAAGGCCUUGUGCUAGGUAGAGAUGGAAAUAUACAUAUAAGGCUUACAGGAUCCAUUCCCCUGGAAGAUAUGGGAUGCUACAAUCCACCCCCCUUAGGGGCCCGACGUCCUCAUCGGCACACUUUCGACCAGGGAUUGGCUCUGAUACCAAAUUGUUACAUCCCAGCCCGGGCCCUCACCACAUCCCGGGCUCGACUCCGCCAUAGCACGAUAUUAUCCAGUUUGUGCCCCAACCACACCCUCACGGUUUUUUUUCUAGGAACUCACAUGAGUCCAGUGACUAUCUUUGAUUGGAAGGAUAAGGUUCUUAGGAACAAGACCGUGUGGAUGGUGAAAGUUUUAUGGAGGAACCACUCGGUUGAGGAAGCUACUUGGGAGACAGAAUAGCGUAUGCGAGAUGUGUAUCCAUGUCUAUUUUAUGGUUUUGAUUUGUAAUUAGUGAUGAAAUUUCAGGGAUGAAAUUUUUAUAAGGGGGGUAGAUUGUGACAACCCGUCCCUAUUUUUCCUAUGUAAUUUCUCCCCGAGUGUGUGAAAUGACUAUUAUGCCCUUACUGGCAAGUGAUGUGGACGUAUUUAUAUUGCUUUUACUUUACUUCUUGUUAUCGCAUUUAAAUUGUACACGUUGUUACGCGUGUACGAGAAUUUCUAUUAGUGUAGAAACACUAUUUCGGAUAGAUUUCGAUUCCCCAAUCUGUACAAAAUCUAAAACUCUAUCCCUAGCCUUCUAUUUAGCCCAUCUCGUGCACUCCACUAAUCCCAUCCACUCCCUUUUUGCAGCAACCAAUCAGAAAAAGAAAAAGAAAAAUAAAAAAAAUAUCUCAUUUCUCUCUCUUUCUCUUUCUUUCUUCUCUCUCCCGUAUACUCUCUUUCUCUGCAAACCCCUUGAACGAACCCCAAACCUCACAGAUCGAACCUAAAAACCAUUCCAUUGUACUCCUCUCAUCUUCACGAACACAACCAUGUUCUUGAAACCCGGAAUGGACGAGUUUUCGACGUCGAACUUGCAAGGUCCGAACUUAGUGCUUUGAGUUCAUCGUGUUUGGGACCGAGUUACGGGCUUUUAGGAAUUUUGCAGGCUUCCAUUAAACUCCUCGAGGCUCUUACAACAAUUUGUAAGAAGCUUGGAAGUGAAACGAUCAAGUUUUGAAGAGUUCACUGAUGUGAUAUAAACUAGCACUCAAACUUAAACCCUUUUUUUGAUAGUUGUAGUAUGGAUAAGUAGGGAUCCUUCUAGACCGGGGAUUAAGAGAGACUGCUAAUCUACUCAAAUUAGACUCAAUUACACUUAAAGACUCUUAUGACUCAAGAUUGACUUAAACUACUCAAAACUACACAAAACAAACAAAUCGACUCAAAACUAACACUAAGGAUGACUUUGGACGAAAAUUGAACUAAAAAGACUCAAAACAAUGUGUAUGGACGAAUUCUAACUUAUGUUGACUCAAAAUACUAAAAAGAAACCAGUUUGGACAGAUUCUAACUAAAACACACGAAAUAUAAAGGGGGGAAUGGUUUUUGACGAAUUUAAAGUAAAAGCAAACAGAUUUAAAGACUCUAAACAACUUUGGACGAAAUUUGGUGUUUUAAUAGGUGAAUGGCUAGCUAGAGGGUUCAUCCUCCACACAUGACACAUAUGCAUGCAAAUCGAUUUCCAGUUAUUAUUCCUAUUGACCAUGAAUGAUGAUAUUAUUCCUAUUGACCAUGAAUGAUGACACCCCAGAUCAACCGUGGACAUCACUAAUUAACCCUCAGAUUUUCCUAAGUUCAUUGAAUUGGACUCAGCGUCGCAACCAAAUUAUUCUUAUCAAGUUCCCUACAUGAACAACAUGAUAAAGAUACAUAUCAAAGAUCAUUAAGUUCUGUGAAGGUCAUAAGCAUUGACAAGGCAUUUGUAACUAUGAACAACAUGAUACUCUUGCUAGGAAUUUUACUUAACGCGAUCAUGACCAGUGACCUCCACUACUUAUAAAUAUAAGUUCAUAACUAUUAGGUAAAACUCCCUUAUAUUUUAGCAUCAAAUUCAUGCAUGCAAACUAAGUAGGCCUCCUUAAUCAACAUACAAGAAUAAGUUCUGAAUCAAACAGUUAAGCAAAUUGCAUUCACGAUUUAUGAAAUAAUAACUGAACAUAAUCAAUUCAUAUGCAAUAUAUGUUCAUGGCUUUGAAUCCGCCUCUAGUUAAAAUGAGUUUAGUUCCUCAUGUUCGCACUUAAACAAAGAUAACUUAAAUUAAACAUUGAAAACAAAAGAUAGAAUACACCUAGGAAUGCUCCAACAAUCCAAGCUUGAAUGGCAGGGCACGGCUCCAAGGGACUCUCCUUUCUCCUUGCAAGGCUGCGACACUAGAGAGAUUUCUGUGUAUGAUGGAUGUGUGGUGUGAAUUGUGGUGAGAGAUGGAUCAUGUAUGAUUGUUGUGGCACAAUGUAUUUAUAGGGAGAAGGGAAGGCAUGGCAAAGAGCUGAGAAUGUGGGGAAUCAGGACUCCAAAUCAACAAGGAAAAUGACAUUUCUCAUUUAGAUUCCAGGGAAGAAAAGAAAUGGUCCUUGCGGCAAGAAACAUAGCUUCUAGAAGGGCUAGGUGCGGCAUGAUUUUAGGAAAAGGGCUUGGCUUCUAGAAACCUGAUUUGUAGGUAUCUUAAUGUCAUUUAGAUGUCUUCCUUGUAGCUGGAAAUCGGGUAGGAUAAGAUAAGAUAAGGUUAGUUUGGAUAAUGUUGGAUAAGAUAAGGUUGGUUAAGAUAAUGUUCCUUCUUUUUAGUUGAUUCCUUAUUCUCCAAGUCUUGAUUUGAUUCUUCCAGAUUUGUAGCACAUUCCUAGCCUCUUUAAACUUCAAAAACGUCCAUCCAUUAUGCUCCAUUCAUAUGUUAUCCAUUCCAAGCCCAAAACUGCUCUAAAAUGCUCCAAAUUGCCUUUUCUUACCACUUUUGCCAUUUGAACCUACAAACACACGAAAAUAGCUUAAAUCAUUAUAAUAAACAGAAACUAACUCACUAAAUGCAAAGAAACAAGCUAACUAAGUCGCAUAAUUAUGCUCUUAUCAAUUUCCCCCACACUUAGCCUUUGCUAGUACUCGAGCAAAACAAAGAAAACAAAACACAACCUAGACCUUCCAACAAUUGCCUCAGGAAUUUCCAAUGAAACAUGACACGUUAAAACUACUCCCAUAGAUUUCAGCUAUCCUUACCCUCGAGCCCAUAUUUAAUCACAGUCACCACUCACUAGCUUGCAUUUAAUCAAUUAAAACAAUGUUUUGAAUGUAGUAACAUGCCAUAGAGAAUUCACUCAAUUCCUCACCGAAUAUACUAUCUAGUUUCACACAGACUUUCUGACUACAUUCCCUACACUAGGUAUAUGUGAGAAGAUUGAUGUAAAUAUGUAGACUAGCCAUUCACAUACGUUUAUAAUCAAAGAAAGCACUUUCUAGAAUUAUUAAUAUGUGUAAAUAUAUAUAUGAUCUCAUGAACGAAAUGCCACUACUUAGAAGCGAGAACUAGGGAUUCCAUAUGCUCGUACCAAUUUCAAACUCCAUAGAUUGAAACACAGAACAAUCAAGAUAAAAGUCUAAGGGUUGUAAUGGGGCUAAGGUAUUGGCUAACAAAGAAAGGUAAGGAUAAACAAAUGUUCUUAAAGCAAUAGUAAGAAAAAAUAAUGAAAUUGACACUUAGAAUUCACUUUUAAAUGCAACAACUAACUUUAAACACAAGGGAAAGAUUCUUACAACACUUAGAGUCGGAUUCAAACUUUUGGACCAUUACUUCAACAACCAAUACUUGUGAGUUCAUUCUCACUUAUUUCUCAACUAUUUUCCUUUCUUUUCUCAACUUUUUCUUCUUCUUUUUUUUUUCACGUUUUUUUCUUUUUUCCCUUUCUCGUGCCCUUCUCUUUGGCACACAAAAUGUACAACCUCAUAGAUUUCCAACGAAAAACCUUCCCCUACACUUGUUUUUCUGCAUAAUGUUGAUCAAAAGGAAUUCCCUCUAAGUCAUGCUUCACUAUACUUUAAGAAUAAGGGUAUGGAUAGUCCUAUUCUAGGCUAGGUAAGGAUAGUGUGGCUAACAAAGAAAAUAGGCUAAAUAAGGCUCAAAGGGGUUAAAUCUACAAGACAUAUGCAAGGGAUUAAGGCUUUUUGGCUCUGGUGGUAACUAAACAACUUCAUCGUGUCUUUGUUAUGCAAUCAAUUUUAAGCUUUGAAUGAAACGGGCAUGAGUUCUAGUAUUUGGAACUCUAAUGAUGAAAACGCAUUCUAAGUAGCAACCAAGCAAAGAAAUAAUGAGAUAAUGCAACGACUUUAGAAACAAAAACAUCACAGAUUAAUAACUCUCCAAAUAAAGUAUAGGCUCAAGUCUCCAGGGUUGUAGCGUUAGUUUGAGUUCCUUCCUUCAAGCAUGUUACAAAACUAAUUUUUUUUCCUUUGUGAUUAUAUGUGAAUUUGUUAAUGACAACUGCAACCAAGUAUUAACCAAAGAGCAUAUCAAACUUCCAUCCAUGUUUGUAAUUUUCUUUAACAGUCAUGCAAUUAAAAACCAAAUCCUCAUCAUUGUGUUGGAAGGUACCCUAAGAUACAAACACACAAAAAUGACUCUUUUUGGGUUUUUCAAAACUUUUUCGAAUUUGUUUUUCAAAUUUUCGUAUUUUUUUUUCAAAACACAUUAAAACACUUCAAAACACAAUAAAAACACUUCAAAACAGUAAGUAACAACUCUAGAAGUGCUAGGUGGUGAAAUCCAACGAAUAUUCAUGAAAAACACUUUGUUUACCGCCCCCCCCCCCCACUUAAACCAAACAUUUUCCUCAAUGUUUCAAACAUAGACUCACACACAAGCAAUCAAACAACACAACUAACAAACAUGACAAUUAUGGUAACGUAAAAGCAAUAAAGAGUAGGGUUAAGGAACACAAAUCUGGUUUUGGAGUUGGAUAUUCCUAGGUCUUCUUUAUUUGAACACAUGGGUUGCCUCCCAAGAAGCGCUUGCUUUAAUGUCUUCCAGGCGGACGAUACCUCAUUUUUAGGCUUUAUUGGAGCCCAUGGCAUGGAAGGGUAUUUCCUCCAUGACAUGCUCCUCGAAAUUUUCGUAAUAGGGCUUUAAAAGGUGUCUGUUCACUUUAAAUUCAUAUCCUGUCCUUAAACUUUGAAUUUGGACUGCACCAUAAGGAAAGACAUUAGUAAUAAAAAACGGACCAAUCCAUUUAGAACACAACUUACCGGGAAGUAAUCGAAGCUGGGAAUUGAAAAGCAACACUAUCUGCCCAAUGGAGAACGUCUUGGUAUGAAACAUAUUGUCAUGAAAAGCCUUCAUUUUCUCCUUGUAAAUAUGAGCAUUUUUGUAAGCCUCAUUCCUAAUUUCUUCAAGUUCGUUCAGUUGAAGCUUUCUAUAAAGUCUAGCCGCAUCUAUGUCCAUAUUGAACGUUUUGACUGCCCAAUGCGCUCUAUGCUCCAAUUCCACGGGGAGAUGGCACGAUUUUCCAUAGAUGAGCCAAAAUGGAGACAUCCCAAUCAGUGUUUUGUAGGCUGUCGAAUACGCCUACAAUGCAUCAUCCAAGCGCAAGCUCUAAUCCUUUCGAGUUGGUCCAACUGUUUUCUCCAAAAUCUGCUUGAUUUCUCGAUUAGAAACCUCGGCUUGGCCAUUUGUUUGAGGAUGAUAAGGUGUCGAGACCUUAUGCUUGAGGAUGAUGAGGUUUAAGCAAACUAUAGGUGUUUUAUUUAGGUUUCCGUAUAUGUGCUUUAAUUAAUUCUAUUUUAGUUAUUUCACGUAUAGGGGAAACAUAUCCCGAGGAAUUACCGGGCCAGGCUAGGUUCGGGGGCUACGACCCAACGACGUACUUGUGAGUGGGCAGUUUAUUUUUAUACCUAUAUACAUAUUGGUAGUUUCCCAAAUGCUUAGUUACUUCAUUUUUUUAUGCUUAUAUUGCGAUAUGGAUUGUGAUAAAUGCUACUAUAUGGUUGGGAUAUUAGUGUCAUGACAUUCAUACAUAUUAGUACAUGCUCAUCUUGGUGCACCCCGUUGUUGGUAUUUCGCCCAGGGCCAGGGCCAGUCUUUCACGUGUAUUUUCACAUCUGCACCGUUCGCUCAUUUGGAUCCAAGUUUAGGUGCCAGUACUGUCGUACAUAUUGCACUAGGCAAUUCUGACUCAUAUGUGACCGUGCAUCUGCACCAGUCUUCACAUGAUUGUUGUACUAGAGCGCAUUAUUACACCCGGUCUUGUCAUAUAGAUUGCUUUAGGCAACUCCGACUCGUGUGUUAGCUUAGAUGAUGAGCAAUCUGUUUAUAUUGAUUACCUCAUGAUUAUAUUACUGUGGCAUUUGAUACGUCAUAACUUGCCAUCUUUCUGGUUAUAAUGUUGUUAUAAUGCUAUUGAUUUCUUGUUUACAUACUUACGUAGUAUGUUUUAAGGAAACUAUACUUGUUUUACGGUGAAGGGUUAGUAUAUUUAAAGAUAAAGGUUUUAUAUAAGCAUUGUUUUGCUGACAUACUCAACUUUGUUUUUGGCCUCUCUAUGACCUAGAUAGCUGUACUCUUUGUGGCACUCGAGGAAUCUCAGCAGUUUUGACAUUCCCUGCUGUUUAGAUGUACGAACUUAUCACUGUUGUGUAAUAAGUGUACUUUAGUUACUUUGACUGCUCUUCUGUAGUCUCACUGUCUAUUACACUCUAAAUAAUUAUAGUGGGUUCAUCCUACGAUUGCACACUUUUUCACUGUUUAGUAUAAUUAGUUCUAAUUAGUUUUAAAUUUAUUCAUUUCUUACAUCACUUACCCUUAUGGUUACGUCACCUCACGGUGACAGCCAGCAUGCUUUGACCUUUCCAAGUCAGGGUGUGUCAUCUUAGUAUCAAAGCCAAUCCCUGGCUGGAAGUGUGCCUACGAGGAUGUCAAGCCUCUAAGGGGGUGGAUUGUUAUAUCCCACAUCGCCCAGGGGAGUGGAUCCUGUAAGCCUUAUAUAUAUAUUCUCAUCUCUACCUAGCACAAGGCCUUUUGGGAGCUCACUGGCCUCGGGUUCCACCGAAACUCUGAAGUUAAGCGAGUUCGCGCAAAAGCAAUCUCAGGAUGGGUGACCUACUGGGAAGUUCUCAUGUGAGUUCCCAGAAACAAAAUCGUGAGGGCGUGGUCGAGGCCCAAAGCAUACAAUAUCGUGCUACGACGGAGUCGAGCUCGGGAUGUGGUAGGGGCCCGGGCAGGGAUAUGACAUUCAUUGUUCCAGGCCACUAUGGUGGAAAAGAGCUAAACCGUUCUACAGGAGGUGGCUUCCCAGCUUCCUUUGGAGACCCCGGCUCGAGGAUGUGGUUCCCGUCGAGGAUGCUGGUUUUCAAUCAUGACGGACACCCUUGACCAUCCCUCAGUCAUAGGUCGGGGAAUGUUUACCAAAGGCUUGGGAAUGCCCACCAUCGAGACCUGUCUGCCUUCUCCUCCAGACAGAGAAUAAGAGAGGUCGAAUUAUUGACAUAUGAAGUGGUGGACUUGAAGCAAUAGAUUGCCGCCAGCAUGCGAGCUUGCGGCCUAGAGUAGUAUGAUAAACCAAAUUCGUCUUACCCUCCAAUUCUCUGGCAUUUGGUUCCUCGACGCAAAACCUGCUCCAAAUUUUAUAUUCGUAUUUUAUAAAUUUUCCUCCGGUUGAAUGUACAUUUUAAUUAAAUAUUCUUUUUUCAUUUUUAUUUUUUAAUUUCAUUAAAUUAAUUUAAAAAUAAAAAAACAAUAUUAAUUAAAAUUGCUAAAAAAUAUUUUAAAUAUUUGCAACGAAGUUGCUUCAUUGCAUAAAAUACAAAGGAAAAAAAUUAUCUCGCAUCAUUGCAACAAAAUGCAUAUAGUUAAUCAUUAUUUAAAUUUUUGGAAAUUGAUAGAAUAUCCUCCUUCUAAAUUUUGCACAACUAAAGGGUUCAUCCCGCAAAUUCAUCGUGAGGAUGGUAUUGUGCCGCAAAAAACCACACGCAAGGACAGACCUUCAUCGUUUUGACUAUAGAGCGAUAAAGCCUUCGACGGAAACUCUUGUCCUCCAGCGAUUACGAUUGCAUGACGAACUACUGUUUCUCUAUCACAUACAACUUGACGUCACGAUCUUUGCGCGAUGACAUUUUCGCCGCCUAAAAUUUUCGGUGACUGAUUUUGAUUUAGCAAGAUGACCCUUUCUUCGUCGGUGUACCUGUAAUACUUGUUGUAUAAAUCUUACAGGGCAAAACAAGAUUAUACUUUUUAGGCUUUUUUUUUUGGAUGGAUUUUUAUUUUCAAUUUUUAUGAAACUUUCUGAAUGAUUUUUUUCUCCCACCCCUUGUUUGGGGGAAUGUUCUGUGACAGCCCGAUCUGAAGAUGUGCAUUAUUUUAUCCUCGAGAGCAUGGAAAUUAUUAUGUUGCCCUUGAGCGUUGUGUGGUGUUGUGUGGUUUAAGUUUUGGAUGUGGACCACUUGAUUUCAUUCCUAAGUUUUUGGACCCAAUUGGAAACUUAAACUUUGUUUUAGUGUUUUGUGGUUUAUGGGGUUGAAAAAUCUGGACCAUACACACACACAAAAACCAACCCGUUGACUUUCUCUCUCUCUCUCUCUCUCUCUCUCUCUCUUCCUCUUCCCUCUCAGAUUUCUUCCAUUUUUCGUACAAUUGUACGGACAAGCUCUCAACCAACCAUUUCAUACACAGAUCGAGGUUGUGGACGUGAUUUUUGGGUUCCUUGCAAGCUCAGGAUCGCAAUCGUACCCUUGGUUCGACGUGAAGACUUUUAGAACUCAAGUUACCCAAGCUCCAGUAAGGGGUGAAUUUUCUUUGACGUGAUCGUGAAGGUUUUAGGUUGGUUUGAGACCUAAGAAGGUAUUAUUCUUGCUUCUCUAGCAUGUUGGAUCAAUUUUGGAGUGGUUUUGACGUUAAAACACUCGGGUUUAUCGAGUUGCAGAGGUGGCCAAACUAUCGAGAUUUUUCCAACAAGAUUCCGUUGGUUUUAGAUCCUAAAAGUGGUAAGGUUUUGUUCCUCUCAUCCUAAGCUUCAUUUUGGUUUAAAUUUCGUGAAGUUUGAUUGAGAAUUGAAGAAGAUAUUGAAGUUUAAAGUUUUUCCAGAACCCGGCGAUAGCAACGGUGGCCAGCGCAGGACUCCGGCGAACCAAGGAAGAAAGAGGAGAAUAUUCCGUCAAAGUUGACGAAAUAUGCUAACAGCGUCAGGUAUAAUUAAUGGUAUAUGCUGAUUUUUAAUGGAAUAUUCCCUAAAGCCAUUAUGGUUUCCGUCCAGUGUGUGAGGCACGUGUGGCCGUGCCUUGGCUGGCGCGUGAAGGCGUGUGGGAUGUCGGAAAUUUUUUCUAAAAAUAUGGGGAUGUUCGUGGGGUUGAGUAGGUCAUGUUGGUAUAUUCAAAUACCCCAAUUGAGCAUCGUAUGAGAAGUUAUUACAUAGUUUUGGUUAUGUUCUUUAAAUAACGUUUAUAUAGUUGUUUCGCAUAUAGGUAAGACCUAUCCAGAGGACGAGCGUAGUCAAGCGAGACUCGGGGGCUACGACCCUUCUACAUAUCAGUGAGUGGGCUUUUGGUUUUUAGUAUAUACUUAUAUACUUGGUAUUUUUCCCAGAAAAUGUGUUUAAAUGAAAUUAUGUUUUGAAAUGCCAUGCCUAUUGAUUUAUGCUUAGACUAUGAAUUAGUAUAGUAUGCAUAAAUGUGAUUUGACGAUGCGGACGCUUAGGUAAGUAUCAGGUGAGUUGUAGAUUGUUAUUAUAAAUUGAUGAUUAUGUGAGAUGUGUUGAGAGCUCAUAAACAUGCACCCCGAUGUUAGUGCUCUGCCUAAGGUUAGGGCCUAGCCUUCAUGUGAUCGUUCACCUCUCGCACCACACGCUCACCUUGGAUUCAAGGCAGGUGCCAGCCUGUCGUACAGACCACAUUAGGUGGUUCUGACUCGUAGGUGACUUACGAUGCUUCGCACAACCUUCACGUGAUCAUAACACUUGAACGUACUUAUUUACACCUAGCCUGUCGUACAGACCACAUUAGGUGGUUCCAACUCGUGUGCAGGCAUACUUGUUGAGCUAUAAAUAUAACCGUACAUGCCACUUUAGGUGGAUCUGGCUAAUAUAUUAUUUCUCAUGAAAUAAUUCACCUGAGUUACUUAUUCGGUUAUUUUGAGAUAUUUGGCAUGGCAUACCUUUGAAUAUUACUAUUCUGAGCAUGGUUUUGAGAUAUGUAUAUAUUCUAUUUUCUAGGAAAUUAUACAGGUUUUACGGUGAAUGGUUACUAUUUUUGAUAAAUGAAAUGGUUUUGAAAAGCUUUGUUUUUACCCACUCACACUUUCUGUUUUGCCCCUCCAGGUUUUAGGUAGGAGUGCUUGUUGGUGGCUUACAAGGAAUCGUGUGUGGUUCUGAUAGAUGAUCACUAAUGUAGGAUCAUCUUUGGUAUUGUAUAAUUAGUAUUUGUCCUGCUGGACUGCACUUAGGCCACUUACACUGUGGUUAUGUGUAGUCACACUUAUUCUCGUCUUGCAACUUAUCCUAUCUAGUGUUUUAAUUAGUUUAGUUUUUAUUUAUUCGCAUUUCUUUAUAUCGUUAUUCUUCUGCACUGCGCACAUGGCUACAUCACCCUCACGUGACGGCCAACAUGCCUCGAUUUAGGUCGGGGUGUGUCAGUUUGGUAUCAAAGCCUAGGUUUGGCAGUCUUGCAUAUCUUGUCAAUGUUUUAAUUAUCUUGGUGUCUUCUGUCAGAACUAUGUCGCCUCGUAGAGAACCAUGUCCUUCAGAUGAGCCUAGUUUCCCUAAUAUACUCAGUUAAAGGAAGUUAUAGCCAAUGCUAUUCAGUCUUCGUUUCGUCCUCCCCAAUGGACUCCUCUGGAGACUAUGUAUAAUCUAAAGUUGAACCAUUUCAUGGGUAAUGAAGGGUCCGAAUGAGCAGAGAAAUGGCUUAAUUGUAUUGAGAAGACUUUUCGUUUGAUGCAUAGACAGGGAAAUCUUCCGGAGGAUAGAUGGGUUGAGACGACUACCUGGUUUUUAGGUGAGCAGCCUGCAUCCUGGUGGAGAUAGGAGUCUUAUCAGUUAUCACCAGAGGAAGCUGCUGAUUGGGAAGUUUUUAAGCAGUUAUUUUAGAAGAGAUUCAUUCCUCCAGAAUAUAUAGAUCGCAAGAAGCAAGAAUUCAUGCACCUAAAUCAAGGAAAGAUGACAGCUAAUGAGUACUACAGGAGGUUUACUGAUUUAUCUCGCUAUCACUAAGAGGUUGCUGCUAAUUCAGUAGAGAUGCUCCGUCAUUUCAAGUUGGGUACUCGAAAAAAGUGGCGUUCUAUGGCAACCACGACCCCCUAUGCUACUUACUAGGAGUUUUAUGAGAUUCUGCUGCGAAUUGAAGAUUCAGAGAAUAUGCCUAGUGAGAGUGAGGAGAAAGAAAAUGAUGGAAAUCAGAAGAAAGAUGAUAAAGGUAAAGGUCAAUCAUUUUUGGGACGUCAUAAGACUCAAAGCUUUAAGAGAGGUGAAGCUAGUUCCAGCUCUUCCUGUGGGAGUUGGGUUUCCAUUGGUCAGAUGAGAGGUGGUAGAUUUUCUGGAGGUCCUCGUUCUCAGAAGUAGAGAUAUUAUGGUGGUUCUGGUGGUUCGUUUUGUCGUAUAUGUAACAGUUGACAUUUUGGGGAGUGCAGGCAGGGUAGUAGAAAAUGUUUUAGUUGUGGUCAAUUGAGGCAUCGGGCUAUGCAUUGUCCUCAGAAUCAGCAGAGGCCCCAGCCGCCUUCCUUACCACCACCAGUGCCGAUCUAGCAAGUUUCAGGACCUAGUAGUUAUGCCCAUACGGGUUGUGGAGGUGCUUAUAUUUACCAAGGUGAUGUAGCUCCUUAUUUUGUAGCAGUAUCAGUAUCUGCAGGACCCGUAUUAGCAGAGUGAUUAUCCUCAGUAUUCUGGAGGUUAUAUACCACAUCCGCCAUAUUCAGCUGGUGGAUCACAAUGGUAUCCUAGAGGAUAGUCCCAACACGUGGAGGUUGCUUCUAGCAGUGCAGGAUCAUCGAGACAGCCUAGUCAGCCAGGUCAGGGGCGUAGUGUGUAUGGACGUGGUAAUCAGGCUAACAGAGGUCGUGGAGGAAAACAGCAUGCUCAGGGACGUAUUCACCACAUUACACUGCAUGAUGCUCAAAAUAAUCCUGAUUUGAUCAUGGGUACGUUGAAUAUUCUUGAUCGUUUUGCUAUAGUAUUAAUUGAUUAUGGUGCUACGCAUUUUGUUAUUUCUCAUACGUUCGCUCAAAUGACACAACCUCAUCCUACACCUCUUGGAUAUGAUUUAGAGUUUGCGAUGGCUAGAGGGGAGAGAUGUUAUGUUAGUUAUGUAUAUCUAGGAUGUCUCGUGUUAGUGGAGGAUGUAGUUAUGCCCACUAAUUUCAUUCUGUUAGAUAUUGUUGAUUUUGAUGUGAUUUUGGGCACAGAUUGGUUACAUUACAAUCGUGCCAAUAUAGAUUGCUACGGGAAAAUAGUUACUUUUCAUCAUCCUGGAUUGCUUGAGGUUACUUUUUGUGGGCGAGCGUAGUGAGGUGAGGCAUGGUGUUAUUACUACCAUAAGAUCUAAAAAGUUGUUAAAGAAAGGUUGUUAGGGAUAUUUGGCUCAUGUAAUGUUGAAUGGUAAUACUCAUAUUAGUAUGGAGGAUGUUCGAGUGGUCAGGCAUUUUCCUGAUGUAUUCCCUGAUGAUUUACCUAAAGAUCAGAGUGUCUUCAUGAUUGGAUGCAGAUGAAUGAGUCUCAUAAUGGGAUUGGAUUUAGAGUCCUAGUUGGAAUCAGAGAGCUCGACACUGGAUGGAGAUAAAUUUUUGGCCAUAAAGGGAUAAAGGGAAUAUCCAAGCAGAUGCCAAGCAAACAUAAUCCCAUUGGAACUCUACCUCGACAGGUGGCCACCUUUUUAGCACAUCUUUUGCCAACGGUAAAUUGUUUGUCAUGGAAGCCUUGAGAAGAGGCUCUGCAACAUUGAAACGUCCUUCAACUCAGCAAACAACUCAAAUGCUCAAUGAAAAAACCCUCGCUCUACACAAACCCAGCUACACACUUUUUUUGAGAAAAACACUAAUUAUCCUAACCCUCUCAUCAACACAUAUUUAGUUUGGACUACCAACAUUGUGUUAACUAUCGGCGUCGUCUUCAGUUUGGACUAACAUCACUAGAGCCGUAGAAUCACGCGAUCAAGGAUCAUCUUCAUUUUGGACUAACAACACUACUUCUAGUUGGUUGGUUAUCUAUCCAAGUCUCGUCUAGUGAAUUUUUUUUAACUUAUUCACCGAAAAAGAUCACUUUAUUUGCUUCCCAGCGAAGUGGAGUGUUCAAUGAUUGGUUACUCUCAAUAGCAUUUUGCAGUUUGGCAUUAAAACGGAUGAACCACAUUCACCAUUAAAAUGCUGAUCUCCUUUAAGUACCUGUGUGUCUAUAGCCUGAUAUCGAUUAAGAGCACCUAUAUUCUCAUGAAUAUAGUCAAGGCAACUGAACCUGGUGCAGAAGAUCAUGAGCAGUGAUCUAGGCAUCAGUGUGUUCAAGUUUUAGAACCCAAGGUUGAUAUAUGUUCCAUCCAUGGGCUUAACCGCUUGAGACAGAUGUCAGCAGCGCAUUAUGUAUCACCACCACAUCUAUGCUACUCGCUCGACCAAGCUCGGUUGGAGUUGGCACGCUCGCUUUUACAAGAAAGACAUAGUUAGCUUAUAGUUACUCGACCUGUGCGCAAGGUAAGCUUUGUAAUUUUUAAGGUUAGCACAUAUAAUAAUUAAGUAUUAAACUUAUCAUUUAUGAGUCAAACUUGAUACAUCUUACUUGCAAAUUGAGAAAAAUAUCCUUAAACAGCAGGGUUAUUGACAACAAGUGUUUUCAUCCUAACACUAUGUUUGGAUGAAGAAAUUUAAGAUUACUAAGGAAUUUUAAAAUGACGGAAAUUGAAAUGACGAGAUUUUAUUUUCUAGAAUUUGUGAAUUUUCUUGUUUGGUUAACCUAAAAGAACAAUGGAAUUGAGAAUGGAAUUUGUUAAUUUUAAACUCUCAAUCAUAGAAAUUGGGAAAUGACACCUAUUUAUAUGGAAUUUAAACUUGGGAAUUGGAGGCCCCAAAUUCCAAGUUUUUUGUUUUUACGCGGAAAUUCUAAAUUUCUAUGUUUAUAUAUCCAAACAAGGGAAUUGAUGCAUGUCAAUUUAUAAAUUAACUUUUAUCUAAAUUCCAAGUUUAUUUCCUUCAUCCAAAUAUAGUGUAAAUUUCCCCUUCUCUUGUGGAAAUUGAAGCUUCUACUCUACUUUAGAAGCUGCCCAUGCGGACCCUAGUUGCUAGUUGCUUGUUACUACCAUUACAUUGGGCUUGACCAAUAUGCCAAUCUAUAGUUGGGCCCAAACUUUGUCUUUCGUCUUUUCAAACUUUAUUGGGCCAAAUCUCCAGUGUCUGAGAGCAAAAAUAAAAAGCGUGUGGACAGUGACCUGGUUGGACUAAUAAUCUUAUGUUAAAUCAACCAAGUUUCAUUUUCAUUUCCUUUCUUUAAAUUUGAGUAUUAUCUUUUCAUAGAACGAGAGAAGUUUGAACUUGGGACCUAUUAUAAUACUAACUCAUAAUACACUCUAACUUACAUAGAAUAAGUUUACCACUAUGCAACGUUUCAACCCACUAACAAUGAUAUAUCUUGAAAAACUUACGCAUGUCAUUAUUUUAUUGAAACGAGACGCCAUAUUAGCAUGGACCAUUUUCACAUAAGUCCUUGAUCAAUAGUUCUACACAUCUUGAUAGAAAAAACAAAAUUCCUUCACUGUGGGUUUGGAUGCAAUAAAAAAUAAACUCAGAUUUUGACUAAAACUCGGGAAUUCAUGAUAAAAAUUCCAUUUUCCCUCGUUUAGCAACUAAAGGCCCAGAAAUUGUUCGUCAUUUCACUAUUUCAACGAAAAAACAAAUUAUUAUUUUUUCAACCGAGCGCCAAGCCUCCCUCAUCGAGUCCAACUCGAAUAAUCUUAACCAAGCGUUGUGUGGGGAUACUCGAAGAAGGACAUGGGAUUAGGAUCCUUUGGUUGGGUCACGGGUGUUGUUGAUUCACCAUAAAGUACAUGUAUUUAAGGGCAACUGAUGAAAGAGGGGAUUUUCGUUUGGCUCUUGGGUGUGAGAAAUUUUUCAUUGUGACGGGAACACAAGUGGUAUAUCAUGUAUUUUAACAGAAGUGGUGAGAAAUUUUAUUUUUUAACUUAUUAACUUUUUAGCACACAUCACUCAUUAUUUGUAUAGUGACACGUGAAGUACCAUUCCGUAUACCGAUCACACUGAAAAAUCUCUGGUGGUGCAGUUAUACUGGAGUCACCUCUCCACUUCAUGCGGAGAUUUUAGCAGCACGAGCAGCCAUUCGUUUUGUCCAGAAACUGCAGGCAGGUGUGGUGGAAUUGUUGAUGAUACAUGGUAACAUAGUGUGUUUUCCAAGUUGGGGAGGUGAGUUGUCGUACGCGUUUGUAAAAUAUUGAUUUUCUCUCAUCUUAAAAUUCCAUAAUCUCCAAUUUCUAUACACUAAAAUUUAUAAUUGUCAAGAAUUUAUAUUCUUUAAUUGUAGAUAUGAAUGUCCACGUGUCUUCAAUCUAUUAUUUUGUUUGAGUGGACAGCCCAUGCCUAAACAAAAUUGUUAAAAAAAAGUGGUUUGAUAUGUUUGUUAGGUUAAAAAACACUUUGCCCAGAAAAAAAAAAAAACAUCCAAGUAAGAGUGGAGAAUGUACGGCAAGAGAAGAGGAAAGAAAAGACAGAAGAAUGAUGCUGAAGAAAAACAUCAGUGAGUUAUACCAUGACCAGCGAGGUGAGAAGAUAGUGAGAGUUAUUUUGUACUCUUAUUAUUUCAGAUAAUAAAAGAAAAUAUUACUACUGUCUGAUGACAUAGGCAUACUUAUAAAACCUCGUAAAUAUUAUGUCUUAUUUACUUUAUAUUCUAUUGCACACAUAUCAUCGAUUUCAUAAUAUGUUCAUUUAAAUAAUGUGAAAAAAAUUUACCUAUAAUUCAAAAUGCCAAGUGAUGUUGAACCCAGAAGGUUAUAUAUGAGCAUUCUUAAUACAGUGAACUACACUUCUAUGAUAUGACACAAGGUUCCUAGGUACAAUCUGAAAUUGUAAUACAUUCCUGUAAGUAUGAUUUUCCAUUGUGAAACUUGUUCAUUUCAAUAGAGCAUUAUAUAGUAUACGAAGCUUAUGAAAUGUUGAAGCAUAUCUCCCAUAAGUACAUCUCUCAAGUAAACAUAGAAGCAAAUUGCUCUGUACAAAUUUCAAAGGAGAAUGUGUUAUGAAGUGUAUAAAAUCCCUAAAGGAUUCAAAUUCCUUAAAGUAAGCUUUGGAAGGGUAAAGCACAAAUUAUAUACUCAAUACCGAUGGAUGAUAUAAAUUACCUUAGUGAGUACUUUCAUUAUGAUAUUGUUGCAAUAUACUAUAUCUCUUGCAAGAGUUUAUAUUAGAUUUGGUCUUUUUAAGAGUCUAGAAAGAUUAUAAAGUGUUGAAAGGAAUAUUGUCCCGAGUUGUGGAUCGAAUAAUGCCAACACGACUCUUAUCCAUCAAAAGAUUUAUGGUAUUAAAGAACCAUAUGGAUUGAAGAUCAUGAGUUGAACACUCAAAUGAUUAAUCAAUAUUUAGACACUAUGAAAGAUCAUUCAUUCUUGUGAGGGAAAUGGUGAACUGAUACUUGGUCCAGAAUUACCAUAUCUUACUGAAGCAUGUGCCUUACUUUAUUUAGCACAAUACACUGGAUCAUAUGCUAUAUUUCCUAUGAAGCACAAUACCAACAUAUGGAUAUUAGAAUAAAAUAAAGUUUAUUUAUUGUUAUCUCUGGGAAAUUAUAGACAUGCACUUAUUCUAUUCCAAAGAACUCACUGAUAGCCAUAGUCUUAUUGGGCAAGUAAAUUUGAAUCUCUCUCUAGCCUGCAUACAGAUCACUCACAUAAAGGAUUUGUAUUUACAUUAGGCAUAGUCUAAUAGUAUAGGUAGUGAUUACUCAUUGCGAAUAUAUCAAGCAUGAUUACCCAUAUAAUAAUAUGGUCCCCAAUCAUAGAUACACCAAAUAGAACCAUACCCUAUCGAUUCCACAUGACCAACAUAUAUCUAAGCACACAGACAUACAAGUGCUACAAAAUAAUUAUAAUAUGUGGUUUGUGGCUUAUCUCUUCAUACUAAUAGUUACCAAAUUUCAUUAUUGUCAUCUAGAGCUUAAUAAUUACGUAAAUCUCGAUAAGGUGCCACUUGCACGUAAUUAACCAAGAUGCACAUCUCCCAAGAUGGGCUGCUGACUGAAGUAGGUCCACUAAGCUCUAUCAGGCCUCUCGUAAUGUUAACUUUUGCCCUUAAGAACGAUUCAAAAGAUGUUAACCAAAGUCACCUCUCAAUCAACAAGUAGAUGAAAAGUAUAGGGAAAAAUUAUUGUCAUUGAUUAAUUGAAACUAACUGAUACAAGCACUACUAUAUAUAGUGAAAACUAAAGCAAAACCUAAUCCUUAAAGGAUAUAGAAAACUCUAAUAUCCUUGUCCUACAAGAAAACCAUAAAACAAAUCCUAGACAAAACAAAAAACUUAACGGGCAAGUAACAAAUCCUUGGCCCGCAAGAUAACAACCUAAAUUCCAAUCUAAAUUCCAACACCCCCCGUCAAACUCAUGGCGGUACACAAACAUGAGUUUGCCAACCAGUAGAUGCGGAUGCAAUCUCCGUUAGGCGGACAAGACAAGGCGAACAAGCUAGCAAACGAACAAACAAACGAGCAAACAAACGAACGAACAAACAAGUAAGCAAUUUCCAUACUACCAACUCCAAUCCUCGCGGGCAUCUUCUUCAAACGUUGAAGAAGCGGGUGGAUGCAAUUCAACAAAUGCGGCCUUAGGUGGUGGUUCUUUUAACUCUUUCCGAGCUAACCAAGGACAUUGAUUUUUCCAAUGCCCUUGUUCUUUGCAGUAGCUACACUGAUCAAUAUUUUUAACACGCUUCUGGUUUUGAGGCCUAAAUGAUGUUGCCAAAGCCGAUGGGUUCACCAAAGAAAGACUACGCGAUUGUACCCGAACUUCUUCGGCUUGCAAUUCAUGAAGCACAUAAUCAACGGAAGGAAGUGGAGUCCGGUGUAGGAUAGAGCUACGGAGAGUCUCAAACUCACUUCGAAGAGGCAUUAAAAACUGAACAAGGCGUUGUUCUUCUCUAUAUUUACAAUAGAGCUCAUCAUUGCUAAGUCCAUCAGGUUCUGUCAGUGCAAGCUGGUCCCAAAGACAGGUCAUGUCAUUAUAAAAAUCUUGGAUACUUUUAUCACUUUGCUGGCUGCCACGAAUCUCCAUCUCUAACUGAUAACGCUUAGCAAAAUUCGACUUGGUACACAACUUUGCUAAGUGAUCCCAAACCUCUUUAGAUCUUGAGAACUUAGAAAGUUGCAUUCCAAUCUUCAAAUCAACAGAGUUAUUAAUCCAAGUAGUAAUCUUUGAAUUGUUCAUCUCCCAAUUAGCAAGCAAGUCAACAUGUUUUUCAUCUUUGGGGUUAUUCGGAACGGAAAUCAUUCCAGAUACAUAGCCCCACAAACCUUUUCCAAUCAAGAAAUUCUUCAUGACAUAUGCCCAAUACACAUAAUUAUUACCAUUCAAUCUCACACCAAUCGCUUGCAGCGAGUCAUCCUUAGUUGUCAUAUUCAAUGAACCAAAAACAAAGACAAAGUGCACAAAACUGACAAUAGUUUGAUGUAGGCUACAGACUGAUGCAAGCAAAUCUGAUUCUGGGCAGCAGGUUUGGUGAGCCAACUGACAGCUACACGGGUUUCUCUGCAAGCCUCCCUGAUGCAGCGGAAUAUGGUGGUUCAAGCAGCAGCGGUGGCGGACGGUGCGAGACAAACGAACAAACAAGCUAUCAGAUGAACAAAUAUAUAAUCUAUGAGACAGGUCCUCACGAACCUGCUCUGGUACCAAGAUGAAAAGUAUAGGGAAAAAUUAUUGUCAUUGAUUAAUUGAAACUAACUGAUACAAGCACUACUAUAUAUAGUGAAAACUAAAGCAAAACCUAAUCCUUAAAGGAUAUAGAAAACUCUAAUAUCCUUGUCCUACAAGAAAACCAUAAAACAAAUCCUAGACAAAACAAAAAACUUAACGGGCAAGUAACAAAUCCUUGGCCCGCAAGAUAACAACCUAAAUUCCAAUCUAAAUUCCAACACAAGUCAGCAGUAAAGUUCCGGCCCAAGCAUCGUCGUCACGCGCCACUACACGCGGCGAUUUUUGAUGAACAAGAUCCAUAAUUUUCGACUAGUACUAAACGCCAUCAAACUUCAUAGCAAUGUAGAAGAAGACAAGGGAAAGAAAUUUCAUGCCUGAGCCGACUCCUAAAGGUAGGCGAAAGGAGGUGAAAAUCAUCGAAGAAGCCUCGGAAGGCCGUGAAUUGCACGCCAUCGUCCGACGUCCGAUGGAUGACUAGAGACCAGGUCCUUGAAGUUGGGGUUAAUGCGAGUCCAACCCAGGUGGCGACCAAUUUCGUUCAGUGGAUUCACCGCAGAUCGAUGAGACACCCGCUGCUACCCAAGUACAAUUGUGGCCUGGAUCCGUCGCGUACCGAGGCCAAUGAGAGGGAUAUAUGGGUGGAUUGUGAUAUGUAGGUCAAGGGCUACACUUUGGUAGUUGUGGCGACAAUCGAUUCGCUGGAAAAUGACGUGAAUCGACGUUGGAAAAAAUCUUUGCAAAACCGGGUAGCGUCGCCUAGUCGGGUCAAGCACAUAGGUCAACUUUCCAAAAUCGACAAAUCCCUCCAACAAACUUGGCACUUCUAUUUAUAGAGGUUCAAAUGACUGUUUUGCCCUUGCAUUUGCUUGCUUAUUUCUCCUUCGUUAUAACUUCGUUUUGUGAACGAUUUUUUGCCUGCGCAUAGUGGGAUCAAGCUCUAUCCAAAAAUACUAAAAGUGACCUCGAGAGUCUAUGAAUUUUUAAUGGAUGAUUAUUCAAACUUCAUAACUAAGUAGCUAAAGCUCUGAUACUAACAAAAAUAAAAUAAAAUGAAAUUAUGAAAUAUCCAAAUUCAAAUAGUGAAUUUUGGGGACAAGAUUUCAGAGAAGACUUGUGGCCAUUCAAGGGGAGUGUUGUGACUAUGGAUGCCCACAUGUCUUGCAUCUAUUAUUUGGUUUGAGUGGAUGACCCAUGCUUUUACCAAAUUGUCAAGGGAAGUGGUUUGGUAGGGUUGUUAGGUUGAAAGACAUUUAACCUAUAAAAUAAUCAUCCAAGCAAGAGAGGAGGAUAUACAGCAAGAGAAGAGGAAAGAAAAGACAGAGGCGACAUGCAGAAGAAAAAAAUCAGUGCUUUUCAACCUAACAACCCUACCAAACCACUUCUUUUAACAUAAAGUUAUUUUGUACUUCUAUUAUUUCAGAUAAUAAAAGAAAGUACUACUGCUCCUGAGGACGUGGGCACACUUGUUAAACCUUGUAAAUGUUGUGUCUUAUUUAUUUUAUAUUUUACUGCACACAUAUCAUCGGUUUCACAACAUGUUCAUUUAAAUAACCCCAAUUUUUUUUCAAAACUUAAAAAGUUAGAAAAGCACUAUUAAUAAUAGUUAAAUUAAUACUCACUAUUGAGUUUGUUAAUUUAUUUAAAACUAACCUCUUACCAAACGAUUAUGAGUGUGACAAUUUACUCUUUUACAUCGUAUUUUUUACUUAUAAUUUUUAUUUUUGUUUAGAAUUUUUAUUUUUGUUUAGUUUGAUUUUCUUUUCAAAAUAAAUGAAAUCUUAAUUAGAGCGAUACGCAUCACGCUCAGAUUUAUAAGGCCUUUAU
rnacentral:lncRNA from 1 species